rnacentral:lncRNA from 1 species
AAAAUUGUUCACUGUACUAUGGUUUUUUAAACGUACGACACAAAGCAUGGUUCAUAGCUCUAUGAAUCAAACACUAGAGAGCCCCAAAGUUGGGCUCAUCACACGGAAACUAAUUUUCAGUUGACUGAAACAGCCUGCUGCACCAUCUGCAUCUCCCUGUUCAAGCCUUAUUAUUGCACAACUUCACAUGGCAACAAACUCAUCUCUCUGUUAACCAAAAGUAUUCUCCAACUAUAGCUCUAUUAUUUUGUUGCUGCAGUCCAAGACCAAAAAUGCAGGGAUCAAAAGUUACAGUGCCCCAAACAGCUUCCAAACUCAUUAAAUCUCCUAGCAAUAGUCAACUAAAUCAGUCCUCUCUCAAGUCUGACAGAGAACCUUUGGAGACACUUUACUCCCACUUUUAUGUAGCACCAGCCUAGCACUGCUUAAAUAAGUUUGUUCUCCUAGAUAUGGUCUUCCAUUUUUCUGUAAAGUUUUCUGUCCAAAAUUACCAGGAUUUGGCACAAUAGAGCUCCAAACAGAGCACCAAACUGUAAAUUCAGGUUUUAGUGAUCUGCACAAAAAUUCAGUUUGUGCACACUAACAGUCCAUUUUCAGUCUACUUUUUCUCCACUUUUUGUGUAGGAUCAUAUCCAUCACCCAUAAAGACAUUUGUACACUAACUUAUGGUAUUCAAUUCCUCUAUAGAAACCAUAGUUCAAAACCUUAUGGAUUAUGCACAAGGAAGCUCCAAAGUCUGUCACAAUCACUGAAAUUCAGACUUAUAUACCAUUCCGAAUCUGAAAAUUCAGAAUUCAGCCACCUAGCUGACAGUCCAAAUUUGAGCAGCUGUUACUCCAACUUUUGUAUAGGAUCAUGUCCCUCACCCUUAAAGAAAGUUAUUCAAAAUCAUAUAGUAUUCCAUUUCUCUACAAACAUCACAACCCAAAACCUUAUAUAAUAGUUGCAAAUAGGCUUCAAAACUGCUAUCAAAAUACUGAAACUCAGUUUCAGUUACUGUUUCCAAUCUGAAAAUUCAGAAAUACAGCAGCACCACUUGGAACCACUCUUUUUCCUAGGUUCCAAAUGUUUAUAGGGGCAAGUUGCUUAUUAAAGUUUAUACUCCAAUAGUUCCUCUACAGGUUUUGCAUAAUGGCCGUUAGCUAAACCCUUUUGGACUCAAUCUACCACAGCCCAAAGUUGGCAUCAAACACAGAAAUUCAGAGUCUGAAUUUACUCCAAGUCUGAAUUUGACAAUCUCUGACAGCUCUAAUUUGGACCAGUUUUACUCCAAGUUUAGAAUAUCUUUAGGGCUAGGUAACUUAAUCAAACUUAUACUCCUUAUGUAGAUUUAUAAUUUUGUUUUAAUGAUCAUAACCUAUAACCCUAUGGAUAGAGCAAUAGAGAGCUCCAAAACUGCAUAAAUCUUACUAAAACUCAGCUGCAAUGAUUCAGCUAAGUCUGAAAACACAAUACCUAGCAUCCCUUCUUUGGACCACCUUUGCUCCUGGUAUCAUGUAGUUUUAGGGCUAGUACACUUAAUAAGGAUUGUGCUCCAACAAUUACUCUACAAAUUUGUUAUAGCAACUUCUUACCAAAAGUCCAUAGAUCAAAAGUUAUAAGGGUCCAAAAACAGCUAUAUGAAACUGUUUUCAGCCCAAUUCAAACUGAACCCAAGCUGAAAUUUUGCAAAUUACUCCAAAUUUCUCCACACAACUUGGAAUUCUCCAGAUAUGAAAUUUGUUCACUUUUCCAAGUUCUACAACCUUGGUAUAUGGACUUUUAGUUAAAUUCUUCUAGAUUUUAAAUUCCACAUUUGGGGUUAGUUUAGGGUUUCAAAUGAGUUUCAUCUGUUUUUCAGCUUCUUCCAGGGAUUCAUCCCUUUGAUCCAUCCAUCAAAAACAAAGUUACUCUCUAGUCUAAGAUCCAACUUUAGUAUAUGCAGCUCAUUCCCAACAAGUCCUCGGUUUAGGAAUUAUUUUGUUCAUCCAUAAUUCCAAGCAAGUUUUUCAACCUAAGUCCUAUAUUCAACACACCACAUCACACUUUUGAAUCGAAAAUUUUAACCUAAUAAAUGCAUUCUAAGUGUAACAAGCAAGUUAAUGCAAAUGCUUAUGAUGACAUGUCAGAGUUUUAGUUCACGUAACACCAGGAGUGUUACACCAAUAAAGAAUCUCACGUAGCAAAAAUAGAUUGUGCCAAGAUAACACAUUGAUAUAGUCUCAUAAUGGAUUACAACUACUAACUGUGAUACCAGCGCGUGCCGAGUAGCACAACCAUGUGUGCGCACACACAGAAGGCCCUCGAUUUUGUCGCGACACCGUCAGUUUUAGUCAUAACGCCAUUAACAAACUCAACCAAUGAAAAACCUUACGUGGCACAAAUAAAUUAAGCAAGGGUGACAAUAUACAAAGAGUUACUCCACCUGUAAAAAUGGUUACAAGUAGAGAGCCAAAUAGAUCAUGACCCGAUGAAAUGAACAAGACAUGGCCAUAACCUAAAUUGGUUGGUGAGGGAGUACAAUGGGAGACUGUUGAUUCAGCCCCAAGCAUAUUUCUAUGCCAUCGUAACAAUUACAAGGUCAAGGAUUAGUAUCUAUUAGAUACGGAGGGAAAACAAUUAUAAGAUUAAGCUGGUAUGUCUUCGAUAAAUAUGAGGAAACCAAAGGCAUCAAACUCAAGAAAAUGGUCGGACAUGCCUUUCCUAGGUUAGGUUGAUAAAACAACAUUGCGAUCUUCGAGAACAGGCAAACUAGAAUGAAGACAUCAGCUUGCGCCAAUCGAGUAGGGGAAUGGUUUUGGAAGAAGAUAUAACUCGAGAUUCUUAUCUUAAGCCCGGGUACACUUUAGGUCCAACAAAGAAAUUAUCUAGGCAUUUAUUUUUAUGUGUUUGGUCAUGGAGUGAUAAUGGAGAAUUCAAAUUUGGGUUAUGGUUUACUAAAUAAGGACAUGACCUAAUUUUGGGUUUAAGCAAACAAACUACUAACCUUCUAUAAGUAUAUCAAGCACAAGAGCAAACACAUAUAAUACCUAAAUAGAUUACCUAAAGAACGGAGGACAACUAUUUCAUCGAAGUUCAUAAUUCAACAUUACACCACAUUAUCUACAACCACUGGUUACUGGAAUAAGGAUGAGAGUAGCAUUUUGGAUGUAUAGGUGACAAACACAAUGCAACAAUCAGAAUGCAUGCUCGUCCUAAGCGUCCUCACAAAUUUUUGCCAACCUAAUGUGGCAAUAGUGUUCUAUAUCGGUGGCAUACUUACGACUCUCACGGUAUUUUGCUAGUCGUCAGCUACACAUACGUUUUCGAGGUUAGUGUACCUACAGAAAAAUCCAUCACAGCCCAUUUCCCAAUGAUGCAAUUCACACAUGACAGUUUAUCACAGUUUAUACUCCAUAUAUUUCUAUAUGUAGGCCAGCUCAUCAUUAAGCGCCGAGCCACGCAUAGGCGCCGCUGCCACACUUUAACCAUAGGGCAGCUCAUUAUGGUAACUCACCUUCAUACCUGAGCGUAGGUGCGUCGUUACAAGUACAUUAUAUUUCUCAGCAUUCCCAUGUCUGUAUACCCAUACACCUCCAUGGGGUACUGAAUAUAUUUAAUCCUGCUCCGAUACCAGCUGUGGCAGAACCUCCCAAGUUAUUGGGCCCACAUGCACCUGUCUUUGUCUCAAAGACCUCAGCGGCUAUGCAUGUGCACCAGAUAACUUAACAGGUUCCGUCCGAGUGUCCCAAGGACCCCGGAUAAACCACUUACAACCAGGAUCACAAGAUUAAGUAACACAAAUCACACACCAACAUUUUGCAGCGGAAAUCUUAUUACCAAAUUUUACAAGUUACAUCAAGUUUUACAAUGUACAUGAUCAGAGUGAUUACAAAAGUGAUUCAAAGAAUAACUUUGAACUGUUAUAAAUUAUUUGUAGUUUUAAAAUAUAUGCUAACUCAAGUGACCAUCCUUAAUAAGAAGUUUAGAGGAGUUACUUAGACUUAUAAGGUCGUGCCCACCGACGCUGAACACCAAUCACAAUCAAGUGACUCGAAACCUGCAGCAACAAUGGGUAAAACCCUAAGUAUGCAAGUACUCAGCAAGACUUACCCGACUAAAGAAAAGACUCUCAAGGAUAUGCUGGCUAGAGGGAGUCAAGGUAAAGCUUAUCAAGAAUCAAAGACUCUGUUUUACAGAAAUGCUUACUAAAAGUGGAUCCUUAACAAUCCAUUUUUACUUGUCAGGUUAAGUAAAGUUACCUGCAUCUAGAGUUCUUUCUGUCCUAGUUCAAGCACUUGGCCUAUACUAGUCGUCUUUUAUCAACCCUUCAGUUCACUGGAUUUCUACAUGUAAGUCAGUGACCAAGUCUUCAUGUCCGAGAAGUAACGGCGAUCCAAAUCGAUUAAUACCCAGCUGGGGAUCUCCGAUCACACGACAUAUGUAGCACUUAACCCUUGCAUAUGUCAACUCGCCACUGGGGUUCUUAAGACCAGAUCAGGUUCACGCCAACCGAGAGCACAGAUACACCACCGUCUAGCCUCUUCCCACGGAGGGUACACGCUACUCUCGCCAUCUCUCCACUCCCAUUGCGUGUUGUCUUAUUCUGGUAUUAGUCUGCCCGAGGCAAAGCUUACCCAUGAUGAGGCAUGUGACCAGUUAAAAGGUCCUCGAUCAUCAAGCCUACAUCGACAAGGUCCUUAAUCGACUCAGAUGGAGACACUACACCGAGACUCCGUUCUCGUGCAAGUCAAUCGCCCGGUCUCAGCUUUAUUAUUUUGAACCCAAAGUUUGGUACCUGGCAGAGGUACAUCUUUUCCGAUGUUGAACCCAUCACGACCGUGAUGGAUCCACCAAGUUUUAUUUUUGAAAACAUUCCUACCCACUGAAGCAUCACUUUUGUUUUAAAACAAAACAUUUUUGUCUUUCUAGAGCAAGGCUAAGCAUCAAAAAUUAUUUUCAAAACGGGUAUCAAGGAAGGGUAAUCAAUUUUCAAGUAAGGAAAUGCAUCAACGGUUUAGCACACAACUCCUAUCACCUAAUGCAUCAAACAAGGUGAUAAAUAUUUUAAAACAGCAAGGAGGUGGCAAAUGCACCAGGGCUUGCCUGAAUAACAAUAGGUUAGUGUUUGUUAGGCGAUGUCCACUUGACGAUCAUCCUUAUCCUGGCACUUGAUCAGGCAGGUUCGUCCAUCAGCAUCGCCAUGCGGAGUAGUCCACGCUUGGGGUCGACUUGGCUCGUCUUCCGCAUCACGCGAUUAUUUAUCGUACCUCAUGAGAUGCACGAUGCACAUGUAUGAGCACGAGUAUAAAGAGUAUAAGAUAGAUAUAUGCACCGAAGAGAAUGAAACACGUAUAACAAAACAUUAAGCAAAUACUAGCUAGCGAUGUACGACUAAUUAAAAUAAUUACGCCUUUCUAGCCUAUUCAGAGGUAGCGCAUACAUCGCAAUACAAUAAAAUAUACACACGCUCUGCUUUCUUUUAUGAUUUAUUAACAGAUUCAUAUUACUACAUAUAUUUUUACCUAGUCAGCAUAGUAUGACCACUAUCAUUUGACACAAGAAAAUCUGAAAAUGCUUAUCACCAACUAAACCUAGAAUAAGUUAACUAUGUAAGCAGGACAUCGACGUUCUUAAACAAUACACUUGCACAAUCAACCAUGACCGUAUUUAUCAACUAUAUGAUCGAGACACUAUACUUAUUAUUCAUUUAACCAAUCUUUACGGAUAACUAAUUCAACCAAUCCAUACAUCAGAUCAGUUAACAAAAUAGCAAAUCAGCUUACCGUUCCAACAGCUGACUCGAAUCCGCGAGAUCGGUAAUGAUUUUCCGAUUCAAAUAAUUUGUCGAGCGCUUGGCAGGUACCACACGAACUUCACGCUGCUAGCUUUGUUUUCGCCCGAUUCUUGGGAUUUCUUGAUGACACACGGAACGACGACGAAAUCGUGUCUGGAGCGAGUUGGCGAAGUGAGGUGCACGACCGGCUAGCAAAGAUGAAUGUGUGCGGCACGGAAAUGAAAGCAGAACUUGAUAGCCGGCUUGGAGACUUAGCGAGACGGUAACAUCACGGCGACGCACAGCAAGGCGCGUAGACCUCGUAGGGCCAGAUCUUGGCGAGGACGAGCACACACGACGCGGCGACGAACGACGACAACUUGCAAAGUCGACGACGCGAUGGGGCUUAAGGCCGAGCAAGUCGAGAGGACGCGCUGGCGAGCAGGAAACCGCGCGAGCACUGGACACGGAAAACGACGGGCUUGACAGCACGCGAAGCUAUCACCAGUGACGACACGACGAUGACGACACGAGCGAGCGCGGAUCGGCGCCACAGAAGCCGAGCGCACGGUGUCAACAACAGAGGGGGUGGACGUGAGCUGGGCACCAUGAGUGAGCUGUUCGGCCACCAGCGAGGGAGUAAGCUGAGCAGGAAAAAUACACAGGGCGCGCACGAGCUGAGCGACGGCAGGACAGACAGAUCGGCACCAUGGGAGAGCACCAGAGAAGGGCAGCGGUGGCCGGACGCCAUAGCUGAGGGCAGGGGCGAGCUCGGCGUGCAAGGAGAAGCACCGGCGAGCUGGGAGCGGAAGAGAGCUGGACGCUGCGUAGAGGCUAGCAGAAAGCUUUGCGAGCUAGAGCAGAUGCGCGCGCAGGAAACAUGGCCAGGGCGCGGCUUCCAAGGGCGAGCAGAGAACCAGCAGGACGCGGCGGGCUGAGGGAGAGGCAGAGCGCGCGCUGGAGGAGCCGUUCGGCUGGGCGCGGUCCGAGCUGAAGCAGGAAGGGAGCCAGGGACGCGCUAUGGAAACGAGUAGGGGAUCCGGCGAAGUGGAAGACAAGCAGAGGCGCGGUCCGAGCAGGAAAAUCCUGGGCACGUAGAGCUCCGGGCAAGCUCCAGAGAUGAGCACGUAGGGGCUGUGCGAGUCCGGCAAGCGCUGGCCAGCAGGACGCCACCAUGGGGAGCUUGGCCAGGCGCCGGAGCAGAGGAGAGCAGGGAGGGAGCGCCGGGAGAGAGAGAGCAGCGCAGAGGAGAGCGCGGCUGGGGAAAUCUCGACACAGCGCAGCGAGCGGCUCGGCAGGGAGGCUUGGCAAGAGAGAGCUUGGCCGGCGGCCAUGGCCGAGCAGGGACGGCGCGCAAGAGAAGCUCGGCGAGGAAGAUGGGGCGCACGCCAUAGGGCUCGCGGCCGGCACUGGAAUCCAAGCAAAGGGGAGAGAAACUGGGGAAGAGGACGCGCUAGGGGAGAGAGAGAGGCAUUGGGGCCAGGCGCGGGAGGAGGAGCCGGCGAGCAGAAACGAGGAGCAGGGAGGAGUGCGCCAUGGGAGCCGCUCGGCGAGCGCAGGGGUGUGGCUCUCCUCCACCGCGCGUGGCAGAGGAAACUUGGAGAUGGCGGCGUGGAAGACGCAGAGACCCGAGGCAUGCACUAUUUUUAUCCCGCGACGGCUGAAAAAAAAUCAAUAGGGCGGCGGGAUUUUCUUAGGCAUAGGUAGAGAUGUCCAAACGGGCCGCCCGGCCCGGUCCGGUCCGGGCCCGGUGAAGCCCGGCCCGCCAGGCACGAUUAAAAAAUCGGGCCAGGCCGGCUAAGCACGCGAGCUCAAUUUCUUGUCCGAGCCCGGCCCGCAACGGGCCUAAAAACGGGCCGAAAAGCGGGCUAUGCGGGCCGAAAAGCACGUUUUAGUGUAAAAAAAACGGGCUUAAUGGGCUUAGAGCUAAACGGGCCGUGCCGGGCUAACCCACCAUGCCUAAUUUCCUGUCCGAGCCAGAUGCACCAUCUUGGGUAAAACACAUAGAAGAACGUUUACCAACAAGUGGUCACGGUAAGUUCAUAGCACACGAGACGGGUGUAAAUGUCGAACAACAUCACAGUUGACCCGUGGCUUUGGGUUGUAAUUUUUGGCUCUGCAUUCCCUUAGAAAUGACUUUUGAGCAGAAAACUUACGCUGCGCUCUCUUAGGAACGACUUUUGAAGCUUCAGAUCGUAAUUUUUGGCUUUGCAUUCCCUUAGUAACGACUUUUGAGCUUCAAAAUUUACUUCGUUUCCUUAGAGACGUCUUUCGAGCUUCGUAAAUCCAUGAGGAAGAUAUAUUUCACUCUGGUGUAGACACAAUUAUUACAAGAAAUUGAAAUUACGUUCUUCACUACUUGUUUCUCAUACAGAAAAUAAAAUGGCAUAAAAGGUAAAAGUACAUCAAAAGUAGAAUAUUCCUCAGUAUAUAUGCUUCAACUCUGGUACAGUGCUGUUGACUGUACGAGCUUCGGACUCCUCCCUGAAGUCGUGCUGCUGUUGGGCGUGCUAGUGCCCUUCUGACUGCUGGCAUUGGGUAUGAGUAGGUGGCAAUGGUGGUGGCAGUGGGAGCUGCUUCAGCUGAUUCUGCCGCGCUUCUGCUUCGGCAAUCUCUUUUUGCUUCUGAAUGGUGACCUGAUAUGUUGUUGUAGUGUGGCCCUUGUCUUCACCACAGAAUAAGCAAUAGAGUUUUCUGGGUUAAUCCCCAUAUCUACCUCUGAAGCCCCUGCCGCCUCUGCCCCUUAGAGCUGGUGGCCUGAAAGAGCUUUGUUGUUGCCCUGAAGAUUGUGAGCUAUGUUGUGGCCUCUGAAACUGGCUUCCUCUGUCAUCACUUUGAGUGGAAUUGUGAAUUGAUCUGGCAUGCCUAGUGUGGAGUCUUCCUCCGAAGCCCCUAGUCAUCUCAGAAAACCUAUAAGCUUCUUCCCUUCUCUGGCGAAAAUCAUUAUCGGCCCGGAUGUACUCAUCCAUCUUCUGAAGCAGCUUCUCCAGAGUCUGAGAGGGUUUCCUGGCGAAGUAUUGAGCCGUAGGUCCUGGCUGUAACGCCCUGAAUUUGGGGGUAGAUUUUUUUCUUCUUUUCCCUCACCAAAUUCAGGCGUUACCCUUUCCUUUUCCCUUUUCUCCUCGCUAAACCUUGAUCUUUUCCAAAGUAUAGCGGGAUUCGGCUUGAGGUUCCAUGUAAAGCAAAACCCUAAAAUAUUCUAUUUUGUGUGAUGCACCAUGCCGGACCAUGCAUACCCUUUGAUUGUUUAAAAGUGUGAAUGCAUUCAUUUAGAGGAAAAUAGAUUUUAGAAAAAGAAAACCUUUUAUUUCUCCCUCCCCCUCUCCUUCCCCAUUUUCGGCCCAGCCCCCCCUUCCCUUCCCGCCGUGGGCCGCCUGGCGGCCCAGCCGCGCGCCCCCCUCCCCCUUUGGGCCCAGCCGGCCCAGCCGCCCCCCUCCCCUUUUCUUUUUCCAAAAAAUCCCCUCCCCGCAGGCCCCGCUCGUCAUCCCCUCUCUCUCUCCCUCACCCUAACCCUAGCCGCCGUCGCCCCCGUCCCGCCCCCGCGCCGCCGCCUCCGUGCCGGCCUCCCUCUCCGGUGAGGUUUCUCCCCCUCUUCUCCCUCCUCUCCUCCCCUCCCUCCUCCUUCUCUCCCGCCGGCGUCCCCCGCCCCCCGCGCCAUGGGCGCGCCCGCCCCGGCGAGCUCGGCCGCCCCGCCCCGCCUCGACCGUGCCCCCGGCCCCGGCGCGCCUCGCUCCGGCGAGCCCGCCCCUCGCCGCGCCCCGGCUGUCCCGGCUCGGCCGCCCCCGCGCGAGCCCCGCUCGGCCGCCCCGCCCUGGCUCGGCCGUCCCCGCCGCGCCCGGCUCGGCCGCGCCCGGCUCGGCCGCGCCCGCCUCGGCCUCGUGCCGUCCCGGCCCCGGCCGUGCCCCCCGCCCGCCCGUGCUUCGCCCCGCCCGUGCGCCGUGCUCGCCCGCUCGCCCCGCCGUGCCUUGCUCGCGUCGUGACGGCCCCGGCGUGGCCUCGAGCUCGACCCAGCGUGCCUUUAGCGCGCGGCUUUGAGCUCGGCUAGCGCUCGGCCCCGACGUGCACACGACUAAUUCGUGGCGUGUGCGUGCGGUCUCGCGCGCGUGCUCGCGUAGUGCGCGUGCCUUGGCACGACCAGUCGUGCCCCGUCUAACCCCCAGACGCCCCGUCUACCCCCCCCGUGUCCUAUGCGUGCUAAUCCCGUUGUUCAUAUUAAUAAGAUAGGGGCCUCAAUUUGGAAAUUGGUUACGUUAGUUAAUUUGUAUAGAUAAUCAUCUAUCUCAUUCAAUGAUAAUCUACUAAAAGUGGUCACGUUUACAUUAGUGCAUGUAGCUAAUUCUUUUAUUAGAACCAAUUGGAAUUAGAGCACGUGACGUCUAGUUAUUCGUUUACCCGUAGUGCACCUCGAGCAUAUGCCUUAACCCCUGCGAGACCUUCUCUCGUUUCUUUCGAAUCAAGGUAAAUUCAUUAUCGUAUGUGAUAUUCUAUGCAUGUUUACUUUAUUUGUUCUCUUGUAUGGUGUACUGUUUGUUUCCUAAUUUGAAUGGAUGGAUGUAUGUAUGCUUGCAAUCGCAUAGAGAACGAUCCGGUUGAAGAGCCCGAGGAACUAGCAGGAGAAGCCCCUGAGCAGCAGUCGGUUGGUGGAGGCAAGUGUCCCUUGACCUAUCUCUGUCCUAUUCAUUCUUUAAUUCACCUCCCGCUUUACACAUUUAUGCCUAAGGAUUGACUAGCUUUUGUUAUCCAUGUCCUUGUUUACCUAUUUGGGUUGGAUUAUUAUUGUCUAGCUUUAUGCUAUUGCUCAAACUCUAAUCAAUGAACAUGAUGAGAUUAUCUAUGAUACGCUGUUUUCCCUUCUCUUAUUAUGAUGUUGUACUUGUGGUCUUCAAGGGGGCUCGAGUGGUUUCUCGAGUGCCUCUCCGUAAGGACCUGUUCUAUGGAUGACCGCCCGGGAAAACAGUGCAACCAUGAGGGUGGAAUGGGAUGCCCUUAGCUGAAUAAUUGGAGGAUCCGGGGUGUAGUUCACUUAGCCAUCGUGCCGUCAAUGGGGCUCGGUGUAUGCGGCUCGCUCUGCCAAGUUUGGGUUCACCCCUUGGGGAGGAGUGCGGUGCAUUUAGGAAACCUAACGGGUGGCUACAGCCCCGGGGAAUCUUUGUAAAGGCUACGUAGUGAUGCCCUGCUAGGCCACCUAGGUAGUGGUUAAUGGGGAGUAGCUCUCUCCGGGCAGAAUGGGAAUCACGGCUUGUGGGUAAAGUGCACAACCUCUGCAGAGUGUUUGAAAACUGAUAUAUCAGUCGUGCUCGCGGUUAUGAGCGGCCAAGGGAGCUCCAGUGAUUAGUGGUACUUGAUCAGAGACAUUAUGGUACAGGUGACUAUGAGAUCGACGGUUUUGGUUAUGACUAUGGUGCUGGUAAGUGGUAUUCUUUCCGUUUGGAAAGGGUACAUCGGGCUAAUAACUUGGGUUAAUGCUAAAACCUGGCCUUCUAUUAGUAAAUAAUGAUCUGACCAACUAAAAGCAACUGCUUGACUUAUCCCCACAUAAAGCUAGUCCACUAUAGCCAAACAGGAUACUUGCUGAGUAUGUUGAUGUGUACUUACCCUUGCUCUACACACCAAACCCCCCCCAUCCCCAGGUUGUCAGCAUUGCAACCACUGCUCAGGAGAAGAUGAAGCUGUGGAAGGAGACCUUCAGGAGUUCCAAGACUACGACGAGUUCUAGGCGUGGGUUAGCGGCAACCUCCAGUCGGCUGCCUGUGAAGGCCGCGUUUAUCUACGUUUCUUUUCUGCACUUUGAUUUAUUGUAAGGACUGUUGGGGACUUGUUCUCAAAUGCUAUGAAUCAAGAACAAGGCAACAUAAAAUGUUAAAUGUUAAUGUCCUUCGUCCAACGAAGCAUUAUUCCCUUGGGGAUUAAUGAACCUUGGACGAAGGUUGAUGACAAUACGAUUAUGAAGGUUAAAUGUUCGUAGUUGAAUUUUAAUAGAUUGUAUAAGAUAACAUAAAAUAUAGAAUAUCAAAGGUAAAUGAAUCAUAAACGAACCAUAUUAUAUCUACUCAAUGUAUUUAAUCAUUGAAUACAGUUAUACCUCUGCCUUGGCAAAGAUUGAUUCUCGAAUGAUGCGAUUGCAAAUACCGGAAUGCAUGAACAGUAAAGGAAUACUGUUCACUAUUUAUAGACACGGGACACAGCCUGUGAGGAAUUACAAUUAUGCCCCUCAUAAGGGAUUACAACAGCGACUCAAACAUUUAUGGACUAAAAGGUCAUUCUACUUUUAUGUCGGUUUGUAAUUCCGAAGCUUCAUGAAGAGGAACCUUCGGUCAUCACAUGCGGAUAGCUUCAGCCGAAGCUGUUUCUUCCUACCAGACCUUCGGAGACGAAGCAUAGUCCCAACAGUAGCCCCUUCGUGGUGCUAGAUCGUUUUUCGUAACGAGCUUGAUCCGUGAAAAAAGUAUCUUAGGCUUCGGGAAGUCGAAGGUCCAAAAAACACCUUCCCUGAGCUCGUUGCCGAGAAACGAUUAAAAUAAUCCGAGCGCGAGGUGGCCCCGCCAUGCAGCAGUUACACGUGUCCUGGCGAUUCACCUUCUCGGGUUCUGUGGCACCGUUCAGUGGGUGCCAGCUGUUCGCCUGGUGUAAAAAUCCUGGCGAUUCACCUUCUUACCUGCAUCACUAUAUAAACAGACGGGUAGGUGUGAAGUUACCACAACAUUCAUUGCUAUUUGCACUGUUUUGCUGCCAAAAUUUUUAACCAUAGCCGAAGCUUGACUCUCAGAAUCAGACGAAGCUCCAGUUUGAAGCCUACUUCGUCAGAAGAAAAAGCUUCGGAAGAAAUAGUAUUUAAUUCCCAAAAAAUUCAGAGUUAAAUGGCCAGAGUGCGUUCUACCGCUAGGGUUGGGCGUGAGGGAGGCGAAGCUGAAGGAUCGGAGACUGUUCCCAUCUCCGAAGCGAUGCAACGAUCCGGACUGGUAACCCCGGAAGAAAUCCCCACUGCUGAGACAGAACAGGCGACUGCCGAAGCGGAAGAAGGAAACAUUGAGGAAACUGAUUCCGAAGAUGAUUAUCGUAUUGCCAUGCCAAGUAAGCCCAGCCACUUGGACUUCGGAAAGUCGACUGUUUCGAAGGCUGAUCUAUCCAAGAUGGUGAAGUCGGGUUAUUUCAAUGAAAGUCAGAAGAAGCUACUACGCUUCUGGGGGGAAGAAACUACCCCGAAGCCUGAGAAGGAUGAAAUAGUCAUUUUCAAGAGCUUUCUAAAGGCUGGGUUGAGAUUCCCCCUGCAUGGGAUUAUUGCAGAUGUAUUGAAGAGGUUUGGGAUCUACUUUCAUCAGCUGACUCCUAACGCUAUCGUUAGGCUUAGCGUCUAUAUCUGGGCCCUCCGAAGCCAGGCGGUGGAGCCGUUUGCCGACAGCUUUUGUCGAGUUCAUGAGCUGCAUUAUCAGACGAAGGCUAGAAAAGAUGGAUUGCAUGAUAACUUUGGUUGCUAUAAUUUCGCCUAUCGGAAAACCACAAAGUUUCCUGUCAUCAGCUAUCGAAGCAAGUGGCCGGCAGGCUGGAAAUCGGAAUGGUUCUAUGUCAAGGUUGAUGACGACAAGGAGAAGCUUGUGUAGAGUCCGCUUGAACUAAUCUUCGGAGAAACUCGACCUCAUUGCAACAUGACACCAGAAGGUCCAACCCAAAAAGCGUUGGCUGAGUUUAAAAUUAUUUCAGAGCAUAUCAGCACAAGAGACCUGGUUCAAGAGUUUUUGGCUUCCUACCUUAAAAGAAUGGGAAAUGCUGAAGCUAGAGGGGGAGAAGAAAGAAGGGGAACUUGUGCGGUUACCUUACUAUUACAAGUUUAAGAAAUAUUUUAAAACACCUUGCCAAGAGUGGCUGGACACAAUUGAGAUAAUGUGCAAUGAAAUACUCGGUAAUUACUCCAAAAAAGAGGAUCAGUUGAUGACUGCUGCCUUCAGUACCCGUCCGAAGCGAAGACUGAAUCGAGUGCUAGACGCCCUGGGUUUUGAAUACCCCGACUACGAAAAUCUGAAUAAAGGUGUCGAAGGCCGGAAAAGGAAAAGGGUAGCCGAAGCUUUACAUGAAGAUGAGAAAGAACCGCCAAAAAAGAAGAAUAUUCCGAAGAAGAGGAAAGUAUCAUCUCCGAAGCAAAAAGUAUCCGACGAAGAGGAGACUCCUGCAUCACGCUCUGCUACUGACGUGGAAGAGAUUUUGAAGGUAAUGACUGAAUCCCUGCCUGCGAAGCUAAGUCCAUUGGGGCCUCAACUGACAAAGUUUUUUCAGAAGGAAAAGGAGCCCGAAAAAACGAAGAAAACAACUAAAACAAGGAGACAAAGAAUCAUCGCAGUGACAGAAGUUAUUGACAAGACACCACCGAGAGCUUCAGCUCAGAAGAUACCAGCGGCUGAGGAAAUAACAAAUAUUGAAGUCGCACCUUCGGAGAUCGCGGCUACCGAAGCUACCUCAAACGAAGAUUUGAACUUGGAAACCACAAUCGAACGCAUCGACAAAAUGCUGCUAAACAUGGCCACAGAAGAAGCUACUACUGCCGCCGAAGAGACCAUGGCCGCAGUGUCUGGGAAAGAAAAGGAAAUCGCUGACGAAACUUCAGAGGACGAAGCCUUCAUGUUUCAAAAUUUAGUUGGACAAGAAUUAUCAAAAACCGAAAUAGAAGAGCUUAAAGAAUAUGCCAAAUCUUGCGGAUAUAAACCAGGAGCACUCCUCUUCGGAGGUAUUGACGAUGAAAAAUUAGACUGUAUCCGGGAUCAAACUGGAGCUAAGAUUAUCGGUACUCUAUCAAAGAGUAUCGGUUUUCUGAAGCUGGAAACGGAUAUCAGCCGCUACCGACGACAACAUAUCGUUGGUAGUUUAUUUUAUUCCAAUUUCAAGGUGAACUACUUUUCCCUUGUCUUUUAUUGUUUUUAAUCACGAAGACAUUUCUAACGAAGGUUGUUUAUGUGCAGAGUAUGCUGUUGAGCAAGGCUUUGAAAAUGCAGCAGGAUCUGGAAGACAAAAAACACGAGGUUAUAAUUGAAAAUUUAGAGAGCAAAUUAAAAGAGCAAUCAGCUACUAUUGAAAAGAAAAACUUCGAGCUUCAGGCAGCUGAAGGCUUAUUAGCAGAAGCCGAAGCUAAAAUAGCAGAAUUGAAUACGAAGCUUCUCUGCCAAUCUGAACAGUUUGAACAAGAAAAGCAAGAACUUAAUGCGAAACUUGAAGCCGAAGCCCAACAAAAUUCAGAUUUGAAAAAAUUACUGGCAAGCCUUCAAGACAAAUGCUUAGAGUUUAGUAAUAGAUGUAUUCAACGACUGAGAAAAAUCUUCCACUCAGUCGGGGCUAGCAGUGAGAAGUUCACCCCGUCAACUGAAGAUUUACCAAAGACCUUCGAACAUAUUGAGGGUGAAAUUGAUGAGCUUGACGAAGUUAUAGCCGGGCACGGUGACUUCUGUGCCUGGGUAGCUUCUCGGGGCACUGCUGCAGCUUUUCUGAAAGCUGGUUGCGACCAUGAAAAAAUUGUUAAUAGGCCCAAUUUCACUCUAUCACCAUCAAUUUUAGAUGAUAUUCCUGACCUCGCCCGAAGCAUUUCUAAUAGAUUUGUAAAGAUGAUAUGGACAAAAGGCGGGCGAGAAAAGGCUGGAGACGAAGCUCGGAGUCAUCUUGAACCAGUAAGAAAUCAUACCUUGUGCUUACCUUUUCCUUCAAGCUUGGUUUUGACCCACAACAACUUAAUUCAUGUAGGAUGAUGAAGCCGAGACCGAUGCUUAAGGAGUAUGACGCCGAAGCUGAAGGCCUCAUGAAGAUCAGUAGGAGUAGACUGUAGACAAACUCAAGAAACUUUUGAAAUAACUUUUGUAAAUAUGACUAAACUGUUCUUAAUGAAUUCUGUUCAUACCUUGUAAUACGCUCUUACCCUUCCAUUAAUGUAUGAGAGACGCUUUGAUGUGGACGAAAUUAUCUUUUUGAGCCGAAGGCGAAAAAACACCUUCCCUUCUUUUCGUACACAGCGAAGCAUAAAAAACAACUUUUCCUUUUUUCCGAAGCUCUUCUUUUCGUACACGACGAAGUACAAAAGACAGUUUUUUCCUUUUUGCCGAAGCAACCACUUAUGCUAUGAUGAUGGUUAUCCUACAUAUGCCUGGAUGAAUGUUUAUGAAUGCAAAUGUUAUGAUGUAAUGUGAUGUGCAAAUGAAUGUCCAAACACAUAUCCGAAGCCAUAAUCACAACCGUUAUUUCCUUAGAAACAAUCACAUAUCAGCGCUGACUUUUCGCUGUAAGCCUCCCUUAGGAGCUUCUUCGCCUUUUACUUCAGCGGAAUCAGCGUUGACUUUUCGCUGUAAGCUCUGCAUUCCCUUAGGAACGUCUUUGGAGCUUCUUCGCCUUUUUCUUUCCGGCACUCGAUGGUGCGUUCUCAGCUUUUACAUUUACAUCUUUGGGGGAUUUUGCUCUUAUAGAGCUAAAAAAAAGGAAAUUACAUGUGAUGGCCCCAUUAAAAACCUUUCUCCCCCUUCAGAAAGAAAAGGGUGCCAUGAAAAAAUAAAAAAUAUAAAAAAUUACAUCAAGUUAUACAUAAUAUCGCCGAAGCUCAUCCGCAUUCCAAGAUCUAGGAAUGUCGUUGCCGUCCAUAUCCUUUAAUCUGUAUGAACCGGGUCUUGACGAAGAUGCUACCAAAAAAGGUCCCUCCCAUUUCAAAAGCAACUUGCCCACUGUAUCUGGGUUAGCCACUCUCCGAAGCACCAAAUGUCCUGGCUCAAUAUUCUUUAGCCGAACCUUUCUAUCACGCCAUUUGAUUGUUUCGGCUUGAUAUUUAUUGAUGUUCUCCACAGCUUGAAGCCUGAUCCCUUCUAUAGCAUCUUUUUCCACAGAAUGAUCAGCUUCAAAAUCUGAUUCUGCCGAAGCUACUACUCUUAUUGAUCCAGUUUUAGCUUCCUCCGGAGUUAUUGCUUUGUCACCAAACAAUAAUUUGAAUGGAGUAAAGCCUGUUGACCUUGAUAUUGUUGUGUUGUGGCUCCAUACCACUUUGAUUAAUUGAUCUGGCCACUUUCCCCUGGGUUGAUUGAAGAUUAACUUCAUUAUUCCUGUCAUUAUGAUGCCAUUGGCUCUUUCAACGAGUCCAUUUGACUCCGGAUGCCUGACUGAUGCAAAAUGGAUCUUCGUUCCAAUUUGAUCACAGAAUUCUCUGAAAACUUCGGAGUCGAACUGUGUUCCAUUAUCUACAGUGAUGGCCUUUGGUACUCCGAAACGACAAACAAUAUUCUGCCAAAAAAACUUUUGAAUGGUGGCCGAAGUUAUUGUGGCUAAAGGCUUUGCCUCAAUCCAUUUAGAAAAAUAUUCCACAGCCACUACAACAUAUCUUAAGUUUCCUUGGGCCGGUGGUAACGGACCUAACAAGUCAAGGCCCCACCUUUGUAAUGGCCAGAUGGGUUGUAUCAGCUGAGUUAAGGACGAAGGUUGUUUUUGAUCUCUUGCACAUUUCUGACAACCUUCGCACUUUUGAACUAAUUCCGCUGCAUCCGAAGCUGCCUUCGGCCAAUAAAACCCUUGACGGAAAACUUUCCCAAGUAAUGGCCUAGAUCCAAUGUGAGAUCCACACAGGCCUGCAUGUAUUUCUUUCAUCAAUUCUAUGCCUUCGGCUCUAGAUAAACACUUGAGUAAUGGAGCACAAACUCCAUGCUUGUACAACUCCCCUUCUAUCAUGACAUAUGGACGAGCUCUUGCCUCUAUCCUCCUGUUGUAAGUUUCGUCAUCUGAAAGGAAAUUACCCUGAAGGUAAGAGAUAAUCUCAGUUCUCCAGUCUUCACUAUAAACAGGAGAUAUAUUGAGGACUGCUCUUUCAAGAAGUUCCACUGAAGGUGCUUUUAUUGUUUCGAAGAACACAUCCGAAGGUAAGGGCAGCCCCUGUGCUGCUGACUUAGCUAGCAAAUCAGCAUGCUCAUUUUGUCCUCGAGGGAUAUUUUUGACAGAAAAUCCUUCGAAGGAAGCUUCAAUCCUUCGGACCGUGUCUAGAUAUUUUUCAAGCUUCGGAUCUUUAGCCUUACAACUCUUGUCGAUAUGACCCGAAACAACCUGGGAAUCAGUUUUAAGAAUGGCCCUUCUGAUUCCCAUUGCUUUUAACUUCCGAAGGUCCAAAAGCAGGGCUUCGUACUCAGUAAUAUUGUUAGUACAACUAAAAUCGAGUCUUGCUGCAUAACAAGUUUUAACUUUGGAUGGUGAAACCAACACAACGGCUGCUCCUGCUCCGAAGGUUCCCCAAGACCCAUCGCAAAACACUGUCCAUACUUCGGCAUCUUUAUUUGUUUCUUCAUCCUGAGCCCCUGGCGUCCAGUCAGCAAUGAAAUCUGCCAACGCUUGAGACUGGAUCGAAGAUCUAUGCACAUAAUCAAUGCAAAAUUCAUUGAGCUCUGCAGCCCAUUUUCCAAUCCGUCCAGUAGCUUCUCUAUUUCUCAUAAUAUCCUUCAACGGUUGUGAAGGAGGAACAACAAUAUUGUAUGCUUGAAAGUAAUGCCGAAGCUUCCUGGAUGCCAUCAAAACAACAUAUAACACCUUCUCCAAUUCUGUAUAGUUUUUCUUUGAUAUACUAAGAACUUCAGAUACAAAAUACACUAGGACCUACUUCUUGACUUGGCCAUCAAGCUUCUCCUGGACAAGUGCUGCACUUACCGCUGAAUGCGAAGCUGCCACAUAUAAUAACAAAGGAGCCCCUGGCGUUGGUGGAGUUAAUGUUGUUAAAUCUAUCAAAUAUUGCUUCAGUUCCUCGAAGGCUUUUUGUUGGCUUGGUCCCCAUUGAAAGACUUCGGCUGAUUUCAGCACUUCGAAAAAUGGUAAAUUUCUCUCUGCUGAUCUGGAUAUGAAUCUAUUGAGAGAUGCCAGCCUCCCUGUCAAUCUUUGGGCCCCCUUUUUUGUAGUUGGUGGCUCCAUUCGAAGUAUAGCUUCAAUUUUACUUGGAUUAGCUUCAAUUCCCUUUGUUGAAACCAAGCAUCCAAGAAAUUUCUCCUUCUUUACUCCGAAGACACAUUUAUCUGGAUUCAACUUUAGACCAGCUUGUCUAAAACUGGCGAAGGUCUCCUGCAAAUCAGCAAUGUGAUUUUCCUGUUUCGUGCUUUUUACAAUGAUAUCAUCAACAUAAGUUAGCACAUUUCUGCCUAUCUGAGACUGGAGAACCCUCGCAGUCAUUCUGCUGAAACUUCCUCCAGCGUUCUUGAGUCCCUCAGGCAUCCGAAGGUAACAAUAUGUUCCACUAGGGGUUAUGAAACUGGUCUUCGGCUCAUCUUCCUUCUUCAUCCAAAUUUGAUGAUAGCCUGAAUAACAAUCGAGAAGACUCAUAAGCUCUGACGAAGCUGCUGCAUCAACUAAGGAGUCUAUCCUUGGCAAUGGAAAUUCGUCCUUCGGACAGGCCUUGUUGAGAUCCGUAAAAUCGAUACACAUUCGCCAUUUGCCAUUGGCCUUUUUUACCAUAACAGUGUUAGCUAACCAUUCUGGGUACUUUACUUCUCUGAUAACUCCUGCACUGAGGAGUCUUUUGACUUCAUUCCGAGCGCCUUCGGCCUUGUCAUCAGACAUUUUCCGAAGCCUCUGCUUUCUGGGUCUGAAAGAUGGGUCAACAUUGAGCGAGUGUUCAAUAACAUCCCUGUUAACUCCGCAAAGAUCAUUGGGUGACCAUGCAAAAACAUCUUUGUUGUUGAAUAAAAACCUUAUCAAGGUUUUCUCCUGUUCUUCAGAUAAUUGGGAGCCCAACAGCACCUUCUGCUCUGCUAUGUCCUCACAUAGGAGCAUGGGCUUCGGCUGAUCUGCCGAAGCUGCUUUCUCCCUUCUGAAUUUGUACUGUUCACAAGCUUCAGCUCCAUCUAUGUUAUGGAUUGCUUUUGAGUCAGUCCAGUUUCCCUCGGCCCUUCUGGCAGCUUCCUGACUUCCAUGAAUAGCAAUGGGUCCUUGAUCCGAAGGUAUCUUCAUGCAAAGGUAAGCAGGAUGAAGAAUUGCUUCGAAAGCAUUGAGGGUGCCACGGCCAAUAAUUGCAUUGUAAGGGUAUUCCAUGUCAACAAUGUCAAACACAACUUGCUCGGUUCUGGUGUUGUUGACGAAACCGAAGGUCACUGGCAUGGUGAUCUUGCCCAGUGCUACGAUCUGUCUUCCUCCGAAGCCACAGAGAGGGUGUGUAGCAUCAUGAAUCUUGUCUUCUGGCUCUUGCAUUUGUCUGAAGGCCUUAGCAAAUAUAAUAUCAGCUGCACUGCCUGUAUCAACCAAAACAUUGUGGACCAGAAAUCCUUUGAUAAUGCAAGAAAUAACCAUAGCAUCAUUAUGAGGAAAAUCCUUGAGCUGAAGAUCCUCUUGGGAGAAGGUUAUUGGAAUGUGUGACCAUCUUGACUUGAUGAAGGGUCCCUGCACUCCAACAUGUUGUACCCUUCUCUGCGCCUCUUUCUUCUGCUUUUUGUUGGCUGGUUCUGAGCACGAACCACCUGUUAUCGGGAGCACCAGCUUCGGGGCCGAAGCAGCUCCAACUUGAUCGUUAAUCGAAGCCAUCAGCUCAAAAAGUGGAAGUGAGUUGACCGGAGGUGGGCGCCAAUGUUGGGAACUUGUUCUCAAAUGCUAUGAAUCAAGAACAAGGCAACAUAAAAUGUUAAAUGUUAAUGUCCUUCGUCCAACGAAGCAUUAUUCCCUUGGGGAUUAAUGAACCUUGGACGAAGGUUGAUGACAAUACGAUUACGAAGGUUAAAUGUUCGUAGUUGAAUUUUAAUAGAUUGUAUAAGAUAACAUAAAAUAUAGAAUAUCAAAGGAAAAUGAAUCAUAAACGAACCAUAUUAUAUCUACUCAAUGUAUUUAAUCAUUGAAUACAGUUAUACCUCUGCCUUGACAAAGAUUGAUUCUCGAAUGAUGCGAUUGCAAAUACCGGAGUGCGUGAACAGUAAAGGAAUACUGUUCACUAUUUAUAGACACGGGACACAGCCUGUGAGGAAUUACAAUUAUGCCCCUCAUAAGGGAUUACAACAGCGACUCAAACAUUUAUGGACUAAAAGGUCAUUCUACGUUUAUGUCGGUUUGUAAUUCUGAAGCUUCAUGAAGAGGAACCUUCGGUCAUCACAUGCGGACAGCUUCAGCCGAAGCUGUUUCUUCCUACCAGACCUUCGGCGACGAAGCAUAGUCCCAACAAGGACUAUAUGGACGUCUCAGACGUAUGAUGUAAUCGACUAUUAUUUCCCUUUUUAAUACCAUUUUGAGCACUGUGUGAUGAUGUCCAUGUUAUGUAACUGCUGUGUACGUGAAUAACUGAUCCUGGCACGUACAUGGUUCGCAUUCGGUUUGCCUUCUAAAACCGGGUGUGACAUAAGUGGUAUCAAAGCCGUGCUGACUGUAGGACCGCUAACCUAGAAUAGAAUGGUCGUUCUAAGGACUAUAGACCUCUGUCCCUGCCUUGACUUUGAUAUCCCUUCAAAAGUUGGUCAUACCGACCAAACCUAUGUUCUACUAUACAUUAUACCUUGCUAAAAAUUGUGUUUUAUUCUAAUCCUUCAUUUAUUUAUGAUUCAUUAUUUGCUGGUCAUAUUAAUUCUAUCCUCACCCUUUUGCUUGCGAUGUCUUUUGUAGAUGGCUCGACUUAGACACACUGCACGAAAGUCCGUCAUCCCCUUCUUACCCUCCCGCCUUGCUGAGCGUCCGCUUCGCCGUCCCGUGGCCGGACAGUCCAGCCACUUGGAGAGACUGCACCACCGCCUGCAUGAGGAGCAGGAACGUCGACAACAGGAGCAGCAGGGCUCUUCUUUCUUGCUCCAACAGGAGAUAAAGUCCGUGAGGAGCUGCUCCCCUGUGCUUCCCCUGGAGGCGCCCCCUGCACCACCACUAGGCGCCCCAGCCUCUGGAGUGGCUGCUGGAGGAGACCCAGACGACGGAGGUGGCGACGACAGCUCGAGCCACAACACCGACCUCUCUGCUGACCAGGAGCCAGAAGGAUGGGUUGCUCGACCCAUCACUCGCGACGCCGCUCGCGGGUGUCACUUCCACGAUGCGCUCGACACCCUGCUACGUCGGGCACUUAACCGGCGUACUUGGUCCAUCGAGUAUCGCUGUGUGGUCUACCAGCAUAGUCGCGGGGUCUACCCGGACCGCUGGGAGGCAACCUGCUUGGUGCGCCGCCCGGAGAACAGUCUCCAGGGUGUGGAGGCUUGCUCAGAGCACUAUUCUAUCUCUGAGCGGGACUCAGCUGAGGCGGCCAUGCAAGAUGCUGCACGGCGUGCGCUUUCGCACUACUGCUCGGUUCUCGGUGGGGUAGCUGACGGUCUUGACCUGAAGUAUUACCCCCGCCGUCCAUCUGGCAGCACAGGAGGCGUGAUUGUCUCACUUGUCGGUGAGGACAAUCCUAGGUUGAGCAGCACAGUCAACCUAACCGCCGUGCUAAACACGGAGCUGGACCAUGCAUUAGACGAGCUGAGUAGGGCUCGUGCUGAGAUCGCCCUGCUGCGGGCUGAGCGCGCGGAACGUCGUCACCUGGAUGAUGGUUCCCCCGCUCCCGCCGGGACUUAGCACCCGUACCGCUCACCUCGGCGUGGACGCCAGUCUUAUGGCAACCCCGACUGCAAGACCAAGAUAAAUCUAGAACCAUAGAUCAUUAGAGUUGGACCUUGUAAUUAAUACAAAAUAUAUAUACGUAGAAGCUUCAGUCUUAGCGUUAGUCUCGCUCUUAGUUAGUCUUAGUUAGACAGGGUAGUUUGCUAUAUCCUGUGCAUUUAUGCUUGUUAUGAUGAACUAUGUUCGGUUUGGAUCUUUGUAAUGACUGCCACCAGAGUGUGGGUAUCCCCUGCAUUAUGGUUUACCUGUUAUAUGUUAAUGGAGUUAGUUAUAUAGUUGGGAAACCUUUUAUUCCACUUUCCUCUUUAUCUGAGAAGUUGUGUUGGUCUGUGUUGGAGAUUAGUGAAGAUGCUCGUCUGUUCAGUGUUGUUGAAGGAUUCUAUACUCUUUUCUUAUGCUGCAAGAUUUGCCAGAUCAGUUCUGAUGUGUGGUUGCAUUCUGCAGAUGUCAGAGAACAGGCGCAGAGGAGGAAGGCGUGCUCAGCAGGAGCGAGCCGCUCAACAGGAAGAGGUACCCCAGCAACAGCACCUGCCGCCCCCGCCCCCGAUGUCGAUCGAGCAGAUGUUUCUGAUGCAGACUCAGGUAGUUCAAGCCAUCGGUCAGACUUUGGCCGCCAUUCAGUAGCAGCAGCAACAGCAGUAGGCCCCACCUCAGCCUCAUAUGCCUCAGAUGCCCAGAGACAAGCGUGCUGAAUUCAUGAGAGGUCAUCCACCAACGUUCGCUCAUUCUUCUGACCCCAUGGAUGCUGAAGACUGGCUGCGCACUGUGGAGCAGGAGUUGCAUACCGCUCAGUGCGAUGACAGAGAGAAAGUCUUGUAUGGUCCCCGUCUGUUGAGAGGAGCAGCUCAGUCAUGGUGGGAGUCUUACCUCGCCACCCAUGCCCACCCCGACACCAUCAUCUGGGAAGAGUUCAGAGGAAGCUUUCGUCAGUACCAUGUUCCUGCAGGCCUGAUGACUGUAAAGAAGGAGAAGUUCCUGGCUCUCAAGCAAGGGCCAUUGUCUGUCAGUGAGUACCGAGAUAGGUUUCUGCAGUUGUCUCGCUAUGCUCCCGAAGAUGUCAACACCGACGCCAAGCGGCAGUACCGUUUCCUGAGAGGCUUGGUUGACCCUCUGCAGUACCAACUGAUGAAUCAUACCUUCCCAACAUUCCAGCACCUGAUUGACAGAGCAAUCAUGACAGAGAGGAAGCGUAAGGAGAUGGAGGAUCGUAAGCGCAAGAUCAGUGGACCCCAGCCUGGAAGCAGCAAUCGUACUCGUUUCCCAGGCAAUCAACCUCAUCAGUUCAGGCAGAACCAGCGUCCACCUCAGCAGCAUCAGCAGUUCCAAAGGCAGUAUCCUCAGCACCAGUAUCAGAAUCGUCAGAACUAUCAGUCAGGAGGUCAGUUUCAGAGGCAGAAUCAGCAGGCACCUCGUCUUCCUGCCCCAGCAACCCAGCAGAAUAGCCAGGCAGCACCAGCUCAGGUCGGAAACAGAGCAUGUUUCCACUAUGGAGAGCAAGGCCACUGGGUGAUGCAAUGUCCGAAGAAGGCAGCCCAACAGCAGUCAGGCCCUAAUGCCCUAGCAAAGCAGAAUGUGCCUCAGCCUGGAGCAGGCAAUCGCUCUCAGCCGCGCUACAACCAAGGGAGGCUGAAUCACUUGGAGGCCGAAGCAGUUCAGGAGACCCCCGGCAUGAUAGUAGGUAUGUUCCCAGUCGACUCCCAUAUUGCAGAAGUGUUAUUUGAUACUGGAGCAACACAUUCUUUCAUUACUACAUCAUGGGUAGAAGCACAUAAUCUUCCAAUUACUACCAUGUCAACCCCCAUUCAAAUUGACUCAGCCGGUGGUAGAAUUUGAGCCGAUAGCAUUUGUUUGAAUGUAUGUGUGGAAAUAAGGGGGAUAGCAUUUCCCGCCAACCUUAUAGUAAUGGGUACUCAGGGAAUAGAUGUCAUCCUAGGGAUGAAUUGGCUAGAUAAGUAUCAGGCAAUUAUCAGUUGUGAUAAGAGGACAAUCAAGUUGGUGUCUCCACUAGGAGAGGAAGUUGUGACCGAGUUAGUCCCGCCUGAGCCGAAGAAAGGAAGUUGUUAUCAGAUGGCUGUCGAUAGCAGUGAAGCAGACCCAAUUGAGAGGAUCAAGAUUGUGUCUGAGUUCCCGGAUGUGUUUCCAAAGGACUUACCGGGUAUGCCACCAGAGCGGAAAGUUGAGUUUGCCAUAGAGCUUCUUCCUGGAACCGCCCCUAUCUUUAAGAGAGCUUACAGAAUAUCCGGACCAGAGUUGGUUGAGCUUAAGAAGCAAAUUGAUGAGCUGUCAGAGAAAGGUUACAUCCGGCCAAGCACCUCGCCUUGGGCCGCUCCUAUCUUGUUUGUGGAAAAGAAAGAUGGCACCAAAAGGAUGUGCAACGAUUACCGAGCUUUGAAUGAGGUCACGAUCAAGAACAAGUACCCUUUGCCCAGAAUAGAAGAUCUGUUCGACCAGUUGAGAGGAGCCAGUGUGUUCUCAAAGAUUGAUCUGAGGUCAGGUUAUCAUCAGCUCAGGAUCCGACCUUCGGACAUUCCGAAGACAACAUUCAUUACCAAGUAUGGUUUGUAUGAGUUCACUGUGAUGUCUUAUGGUUUGACCAAUGCACCAACCUUUUUCAUGAACUUGAUGAACAGUGUAUUCAUGGAUUACCUUGAUAAGUUUGUGGUGGUAUUCAUCGAUGACAUUCUGAUUUAUUCUCAAAGCGAAGAAGAGCAUGCAGAUCAUUUGAAGAUGGUAUUGCAGAGAUUGCGAGAGCACCAGUUGUAUGCAAAGUUGAGCAAGUGUGAAUUCUGGAUCAAUGAAGUCCUGUUCUUGGGUCACAUAAUCAACAAAGAAGGAUUGGCCGUGGAUCCGAAGAAAGUGGCAGACAUUCUGAACUGGAAAGCGCCAACAGAUACUCGAGGAAUCAAGAGUUUCAUUGGAAUGGCCGGAUAUUAUCGGCGAUUCAUUGAAGGGUUUUCGAAGAUUGCGAAACCAAUGACAGCGUUGCUAGGCAACAAGGUUGAGUUCAAGUGGACCCAAAAAUGCCAAGAGGCCUUCGAAGCGCUGAAAGAGAAGUUGACAACAGCGCCUGUCCUAGUCUUGCCUGAUGUGCACAAGCCUUUCUCGGUGUAUUGUGAUGCUUGUUACACAGGUUUGGGAUGUGUGUUGAUGCAAGAGGGAAGAGUUGUGGCUUACUCGUCCCGACAGCUGAAGGUUCAUGAGAAGAAUUACCCAAUCCAUGAUCUAGAGUUGGCAGCAGUGGUUCACGCACUAAAGACAUGGAGGCACUAUCUGUAUGGACAGAAAUGUGAUGUUUACACAUACCACAAGAGUCUGAAGUACAUAUUCACUCAGUCAGAGUUGAAUAUGAGGCAACGAAGAUGGUUAGAGUUGAUCAAAGACUAUGAGUUGGAGAUCCAUUACCAUCCAGGCAAAGCAAACGUAGUGGCAGAUGCUUUGAGCAGGAAGAGUCAAGUCAAUCAGAUGGUCGCUCGUCCGAUGCCUUAUGAGUUGGCUAAGGAGUUUGACAAGUUGAGUCUCGGAUUUCUGAACAAUUCGCGAGGAGUCACAGUUGAGUUGGAACCUACCUUGGAGCGCGAAAUCAAAGAAGCGCAGAAGAAUGAUGAGAAGAUCAGUGAGAUCCGGCGACUGAUUCUAGAUGGCAGAGGCAAAGACUUUCGAGAAGAUGCAGAAGGUGUGAUAUGGUUCAAAGACCGCUUGUGUGUUCCCAAUGUCCAAUCCAUUCGGGAAUUGAUUCUUAAGGAAGCUCAUGAGACAGCCUAUUCGAUUCACCUUGGCAGUGAGAAGAUGUAUCAGGAUCUGAAGAAGAAAUUCUGGUGGUACGGAAUGAAGAGGGAAAUCGUAGAGCAUGUGGCUAUGUGCGAUAGUUGCCGAAGAAUUAAGGCAGAGCACCAGAGACCUGCUGGAUUGUUGCAACCGUUGCAAAUUCCUCAGUGGAAAUGGGAUGAAAUCGGUAUGGAUUUCAUAGUCGGAUUGCCUCGCACUCGAGCCGGCUACGAUUCCAUUUGGGUAGUAGUGGACCGCUUAACCAAGUCAGCCCACUUCAUACCUGUCAAGACCAACUACAGCAGUGCAGUAUUGGAAGAAUUGUAUAUGUCUCGGAUCGUUUGUCUUCAUGGUGUGCCAAAGAAGAUAGUGUCAGACAGAGGAACGCAGUUCACCUCUCAUUUCUGGCAGCAGUUGCAUGAAGCCUUGGGCACACAUCUGAAUUUCAGUUCAGCUUAUCAUCCGCAGACAGAUGGUCAGACCAAAAGAACCAAUCAAAUUCUUGAAGACAUGUUGAGAGCCUGUGCGUUGCAGGAUCAGUCCGGAUGGGACAAGAGAUUGCCUUAUGCAGAGUUUUCCUAUAACAACAGUUACCAGGCCAAUUUGAAGAUGUCACCAUUUCAAGCGCUCUAUGGAAGGAGUUGCAGAACUCCGUUGCAAUGGGAUCAGCCUGGAGAAAGAAGGUGUUUGGGCCAGACAUUCUGCUUGAAGCCGAAGAGAACAUCAAGAUGGUUCGAGAGAAUCUGAAGAUAGCGCAAUCAAGGCAGCGAAGUUAUGCAGACACAAGAAGAAGAGAGCUGAGUUUUGAAGUCGGAGACUUUGUCUAUCUGAAAGUGUCACCGAUCAGAGGAGUCAGAAGGUUCGGAGUCAAAGGCAAGCUAGCACCCCGCUACAUUGGUCCAUACCAAAUUCUCUCAAGGCGUGGAGAAGUGGCCUAUCAGCUCAGUCUGCCAGAGAAUUUAUCUGCUGUGCAUGAUGUCUUUCAUGUGUCUCAGUUGAAGAAGUGCUUGCGUGUGCCAGAAGAGCAGUUGGCAGUGGAAGGUCUUGAAGUCCAGGAGGACUUGACCUACGUUGAGAAGCCAGUGCAAAUCCUUGAGGUUGCAGACAGAGUCACCCGAAGGAAGACCAUCAGAAUGUGCAAGGUCAGAUGGAAUCACCAUUUAAAGGAAGAAGCAACCUGGGAGCGUGAAGAUGAUCUGAUAGCUAAAUACCCAUAGCUCUUUGCUAGCCAACCCUGAAUCUCGAGGGCGAGAUUCUUUUAAGGGGAUAGGUUUGUAACGCCCUGAAUUUGGGGUAGAAUUUUUUCUUCUUUUCCCUCACCAAAUUCAGGCGUUACCCUUUCCUUUUCCCUUUUCUCCUCGCUAAACCUUGAUCUUUUCCAAAGUAUAGCGGGAUUCGGCUUGAGGUCCCAUGUAAAGCAAAACCCUAAAAUAUUCUAUUUUGUGUGAUGCACCAUGCCGGACCAUGCAUACCCUUUGAUUGUUUAAAAGUGUGAAUGCAUUCAUUUAGAGGAAAAUAGAUUUUAGAAAAAGAAAACCUUUUCUUUCUCCCUCCCCCUCUCCUUCCCCAUUUUCGGCCCAGCCGCCCCCCUUCCCUUCCCGCCGUGGGCCGCCUGGCAGCCCAGCCGCGCCCCCAACCUUUGGGCCCAGCCGGCCCAGCCGCCCCCCUCCCCUUUUCUUUUUCCAAAAAAUCCCCUCCCCGCGGGCCCCGCUCGUCAUCCCCUCUUUCUCUCCCUCACCCUAACCCUAGCCGCUGUCGCCCCCGUCCCGCCCCCGUGCCGCCGCCGCCCCUCCUCGGCGCCGCCACCGUGCCGGCCUCCCUCUCCGGUGAGGUUUCUCCCCCUCUCCUCCCUCCUCUCCUCCCCUCCCUCCUCCUUCUCUCCCGCCGGCGUCCCCCGCCACCCGCGCCAUGGGCGCGCCCGCCCCAGCUCGGCGAGCUCGGCCCCGGCCCCGGCCGCCUUCGGCUCGGCCGCCCUCGUCCGCCCGCGCCCGGCCGCUCCGCGCCGCCCCGCCCCGCCCCAUCGCGCUCGGCCUCGGCCUCACCCGCGCCCGCCCUCCCCGCGCCGCUCUCCGGCGAGCUCGGCUCGGCCGCCCCGCCCCGCGCUCGGCCGCCCUGCCCCGCCUCGGCCGUGCGCCCGGCCCCGGCGCGCCUCGCUCCGGCGAGCCCGCCCCUCGCCGCGCCCCGGCUGCCCCGGCUCGGCCACCCCCGCGCGAGCCCCGCUCGGCCGCCCCGCCCUGGCUCGGCCGUCCCCGCCGCGCCCGGCUCGGCCUCGUGCCGUCCCGGCCCCAGCCGUGCCCCCCGCCUCGCCCGUGCUUCGCCCCGCCCGUGCGCCGUGCUCGCCCGCUCGCCCCGCCGUGCCUUGCUCGCGUCGUGACGGCCUCGGCGUGGCCUCGAGCUCGGCCCAGCGUGCCUUUAGCGCGCGGCUUUGAGCUCGGCUAGCGCUCGGCCCCGACGUGCGCAUGGCUAAUUCGUGGCGUGUGCGUGCGGUCUCGCGCGCGUGCUCGCGUAGUGCGCGUGCCUUGGCACGACCAGUCGUGCCCCGUCUACCCCCCAGACGCCCCGUCUACCCCCCCGUGUCCUAUGCGCGCUAAUCCCGUUGUUCAUAUUAAUAAGAUAGGGGCCUCAAUUUGGAAAUUGGUUACGUUAGUUAAUUUGUAUAGCUAAUCAUCUAUCUCAUUCAAUGAUAAUCUACUAAAAGUGGUCACGUUUACAUUAGUGCAUGUAGCUAAUUCUUUUAUUAGAACCAAUUGGAAUUAGAGCACGUGACGUCUAGUUAUUCGUUUACCCGUAGUGCACCUCGAGCAUAAGCCUUAACCCCUGCGAGACCUUCUCUCGUUUCUUUCGAAUCAAGGUAAAUUCAUUAUCGUAUGUGAUAUUCUAUGCAUGUUUACUUUAUUUGUUCUCUUGUAUGGUGUACUGUUUGUUUCCUAAUUUGAAUGGAUGGAUGUAUGUAUGCUUGCAAUCGCAUAGAGAACGAUCCGGUUGAAGAGCCCGAGGAACUAGCAGGAGAAGCCCCUGAGCAGCAGUCGGUUGGUGGAGGCAAGUGUCCCUUGACCUAUCUCUGUCCUAUUCAUUCUUUAAUUCACCUCCCGCUUUACACAUUUAUGCCUAAGGAUUGACUAGCUUUUGUUAUCCAUGUCCUUGUUUACCUAUUUGGGUUGGAUUAUUAUUAUCUAGCUUUAUGCUAUUGCUCAAACUCUAAUAAAUGAACAUGAUGAGAUUAUCUAUGAUACGCUUUUUCCCUUCUCUUAUUAUGAUGUUGUACUUGUGGUCUUCAAGGGGGCUCGAGUGGUUUCUCGAGUGCCUCUCCGUAAGGACCUGUUCUAUGGAUGACCGCCCGGGAAAACAGUGCAACCAUGAGGGUGGAAUGGGAUGCCCUUAGCUGAAUAAUUGGAGGAUCCGAGGUGUAGUUCACUUAGCCAUCGUGCCGUCAAUGGGGCUUGGUGUAUGCGGCUCGCUCUGCCAAGUUUGGGUUCGCCCCUUGGGGAGGAGUGCGGUGCAUUUAGGAAACCUAACGGGUGGCUACAGCCCCGGGGAAUCUUUGUAAAGGCUACGUAGUGAUGCCCUGCUAGGCCACCUAGGUAGUGGUUAAUGGGGAGUAGCUCUCUCCGGGCAGAAUGGGAAUCACGGCUUGUGGGUAAAGUGCACAACCUCUGCAGAGUGUUUGAAAACUGAUAUAUCAGCCGUGCUCGCGGUUAUGAGCGGCCAAGGGAGCUCCAGUGAUUAGUGGUACUUGAUCAGAGACAUUAUGGUACAGGUGACUAUGAGAUCGACGGUUUUGGUUAUGACUAUGGUGCUGGUAAGUGGUAUUCUUUCUGUUUGGAAAGGGUACAUCGGGCUAAUAACUUGGGUUAAUGCUAAAACCUGGCCUUCUAUUAGUAAAUAAUGAUCUGACCAACUAAAAGCAACUGCUUGACUUAUCCCCACAUAAAGCUAGUCCACUAUAGCCAAACAGGAUACUUGCUGAGUAUGUUGAUGUGUACUCACCCUUGCUCUACACACCAAACCCCCCCCAUCCCCAGGUUGUCAGCAUUGCAACCACUGCUCAGGAGAAGAUGAAGCUGUGGAAGGAGACCUUCAGGAGUUCCAAGACUACGACGAGUUCUAGGCGUGGGUUAGCGGCAACCCCCAGUCGGCUGCCUGUGAAGGCCGCGUUUAUCUACGUUUCUUUUCUGCACUUUGAUUUAUUGUAAGGACUAUAUGGACGUCUCAGAUGUAUGAUGUAAUCGACUAUUAUUUCCCUUUUUAAUACCAUUUUGAGCAUUGUGUGAUGAUGUCCAUGUUAUGUAACUGCUGUGUACGUGAAUAACUGAUCCUGGCACGUACAUGGUUCGCAUUCGGUUUGCCUUCUAAAACCGGGUGUGACACUGGCCGAAGCCCUUUAAUCAUGGCCUCAAUGACGAUUUCAUUGGGCACUGUGGGUGCUUGUGCUCUUAGGCGCAAGAACCUUCGUACAUACGCCUGGAGGUAUUCUUCAUGGUCUUGCGUGCACUAGAACAAAGCUUGAGCAGUAACUGGCUUCGUCUGAAACCCUUGGAAACUGGUGAUCAGCAUGUCCUUCAGCGGCUGCCAUGAUGUGAUUGUUCCUGGCCGAAGAGAGGAGUACCAGGUUUGUGCAACAUUUUUGACUGCCAUGACGAAGGACUUCGCCAUGACUGCAGUAUUGCCCCCAUAUGAAGAUAUGGUUGCUUUGUAGCUCAUCAGAAACUGCUUCGGAUCUGAGUGCCCAUUAUACAUGGUGAGGUGGGGUGGCUUGUAUGAUGGUGGCCAUGGGGUAGCCUACAGUUCUGCUGACAGAGGAGAAGCAUCAUUGUCGGUACCCUAAAACAGGGGUACCCCUUACUACAGUAUGAAGGCGCGGUGUCCACGUGGCUAUUUCUAGUCACAUGGCAAACAACAUCCGACCCCACCGCGCGGACGGCUCCGGGGCCGCCACGUGGCCAGAAAAGACGAUAUGCUCCAAGGCAUAAACAGUGGGUUCGGACCCCCAUGGGAAAGUACCGGACCCCUGUACAUACGGACCGGACCUCUGGGUAAUUUCCAGAACCUCCACGGGUGUGCCCGGACCCCCCUGUGCAGGGUCCGAGCCACUCACAAUAGGGUCCCGGGAUUCUGGGACAAAGAGUAUCUGGACCUUAAUUAAGGUCAGGUGGGGGUCCGGAGCCGACACGUGUCUGCACCAUACCGCAUACACCUCUGCUCCCCGCUCAGGCGGAGACCCGAUGCUGCCACCUGGCCCGCGACGUAAGCCAGCGGGUGGAGCCUGACGUAAGGCCUAUGGGCCGCACGUCCUCUGCAUUUAUUGCGGAUAAGGCGCGCCGCCUGUCAAACUGGCAGGUGAUGUGCCGCCUCAGCAUUUAAUGUGCACUGUCCACUCCACUGGCAGGCGAUGUGCCGCCUUGGCAUUUAAUGUGCCCUGUCCACUCCGCUGACGGGCGGUGACCAGACCAUUCUAUCGGCGGCGUGCCUGUCCAUUCUGUUGGCAGGCAGUUACCGAGGAAGCAGCCAUGAGAUAUUAAUACUAUAUGGACUACGGACAUUAUGGCGCUCGGGGAUCUUUUGGACGACAUUGGCAUUGGAUACUUCUAUAUGUAUUCCCUUCGUUUUGCCCCUGGGCCCGCAUGUCGGGGCCCAGCACCCUUGUACGUGCCCCCCUUGAGCUAUAAAAGGGAGGGCACACGACGUUACAAGGCAGACCCAACUUAGGCUCACACACUCACUUAAACUCACAAGGUCAUACAAGCUCUCAAGCUCAAUACAUCACACAGUGGAGUAGGGUAUUACGCUCCAGCGGCCCGAACCACUCUAAACCCUUGUGUGUUCUUGUGUCCUUCCCGAUUCCAUCUAGUAGGCAAAACGCUUAGGCCCCUCCUCAUCUUAGGAUUUAGGGCGGGUGCGUUCCGCCACCCGGCCGGAGAAUUUCCUCUCCGACAUUUGGCGCGCCAGGUAGGGGGCUAGGCUUUAGGUUUCUGCUUGUUCUCCUGCUCGAUGCCAUGGUUCACAUCAUCGAGCACCAUGAUUUUUUGCCCGAGUAUUUCAUGGUGGAGGAGGCGGCCUCCUCCACACCGCGGGGCCACCAACCUCCCUACACCUGGUGUAGCUGCUGUUGUGCACUUCGUGCGGCAGCACACUCCCGCGCAAACAUCCAGGGUGUCUAGGGCAGUGCCUGGGGCGCUAUCCGUGGCCAGAGAGUUGCUGCGCCACCCUCCUAGCUCCAUGGCCUCGCCGGGGGCCAUGAAGCAGUGGUGUGACGACGUCGACCGCCUGCUCGGCAUGGAGCACUAUGGCUCAACAACUCAACCAGGCCCAGGCCUCGGUCAUCCCAGUGUCAACAUGAGGCAUCGGCGUCUGUACGCUCGCCCUCGGUGAGAGCCACGCCGACUGAGGACCUGCGGGCAGAGCUCAACCACCGGUGUGCUGGAGAGGACUAAUGACCUGCGGGCAGAACUCAACCGCAUGCGUGCGAGCGAGGAUGCCCGUGUCUCUCUGGAGAGGGCGUGUGAGCGCCGAUAGAACGUCGAGGGUCACAACCUCGACUUCGACUUCGCUGCGGUUGCACUGCAGACUCCAACGGGCGGCCGGAUCCAAGCGGGUGUCCCAUUGGCCGGCGUGGGCUGCGCCGCGCUGGCGGAUCAUCUCCGCGCGGCGACUUGGCCGUCCAAGUUCUGGCCACACUUGCCAGAAAAGUACGACGGUACGACUAACCCGUCGGAAUUCUUGCAGGUGUAUGUCACCACCAUUACGGCUACAGGUGGAGACACCGCCGUAAUGGCAACAUACUUCCAUGUUGCCUUGUAUGGGCCGGCCCGGACUUGGCUCAUGAACCUUACCCCGGGGUCGAUCUACUCCUGGGAAGGGCUCUGCGCGAGGUUCGUAGCGAACUUCGCCAGUGCUUAUCAGCAGCAUGGCCUGGAGGGGUAACAGCGGCUCACCUCCACGUAGUGAGGCAGGAGCCCAGGGAAACCCUCCGGAUGUUUAUCUCCUGCUUCACCAAGGUACGAGGCACUAUACCCCGUAUUUCAGAUGCUUCCAUCAUCACUGCUUUCCGCCAGGGAGUACGUGAUCAAAAGAUGCUGGAGAAGUUGGCCACGCAUGACAUGGAAACUAUCACCACGCUCUUCGCUCUGGCCGACAAGUGCGCCAGGACCGCCGAGGGUCGUGCAUGGCACUCAGCACCAUAGACCAGGGUUGCCCAGACGGGUGGCUCGGGUGCCAUCGCUCAGGACGACAAAAAGAAGAAGAAGAAAAACUGCAGCUGCGAUUGGGGGCCGAAAUGAGCGCAACAAGCACCCACGGCCACAGAGGGGUAACAGCGGCUCAUGCCCUGUACACCCCAACAGUCGCCAUAGCCGCCGCAGGGUGUCGUGAGAUCAUCGAACUCACGAAGCACGUCAGUGAACGACACGAGCAGACCUCCAAAGAUGGCUCCCCUCCUCGUCGCCGGCCUGGCAAGGAAAGGGUCGACAGCGGCGAGGUGGCCACAGGAGAACCGGACCUCGGGUAUGAGUCACCCGAGGGGGUCCUGUAGGAUGUUUUCAUCGUAGACUACGACUCCGGCGAUGACAACUAGUCGGGCCACCGGGGAGACCUCGUCCUUCCUGGUCUACGGGGCUGAAGCCUGCCUUCCCCCGGAAACCCUUAUGGGCUCCUCAUGGGCCCAGUAUUUUAACGAGUCUAUGCAGGAAUAGCUGCGGCGUCAGGGCAUCGACUUCAUCAACGAACGCAUAUGGCAAGCGGUGACCUGAAAUGCAUGAUACUACCAAGUGCUCGGGCGCCACCGCCAGCGGAUCGUGCAUAGUAGGGAGCUCGGGGUCCGAGACCUAGUCCUACGGCGAGUACUGAACCGAGAAGGGCUCCACAAACUCUCCCUCAGUUGGGAAGGACCCUUCAAGGUGACGGAAGCAUAUCGACCCGGGGGUGUCCGCCUCGCCACAACUGAAGGAGUGCCUUUUCCCAAUCCCUGGAACAUAGAGCAUUCAUGUAAGUCCUACCCAUAGAAGCAAGUCUGAGGGGUUAUGAUUCCUUCUUGUAACUAGGUUGUGCAUACGUGUACGCCAGCUCGGUGAGGUCCGCCCUCAUAAGCCCGGCCUGUUGGUCUGCACUCAUGCAUGUCAAGUUAUAAGGAAAAAUUUACCCCCUCAGAUGUGCUCCUGUGAUGGUUUAUUCUGCUACAGAUCCCAGAUAUUAUUAUUUUUUAUCUAACCCACCCAUACGGUCUCCCACCCUUGCUGGUAUAAUGACAUCCGAAUUUAGUAGCCAGGCUUGCAGUUUAGGACCCCUCUACGAAAGCAGGGGGGUCCGGCAGCCUGGGGGCCAGUUUUGGAGAAUGGGUACUCGUCUCCUGGGGUUGUCCGAAGCUGUGUAGCCGCUUAGAUUGGUUCCACACCAUAAGACUGCACGCUCCACCACUCUGUGACCAGCAUCCUAGUAUUUGGAACUAUAGCCCUGUGGGUCCGAUAACCUGGGGUCCGGUUCUAGAGAAUGGACGCACGUCCCCUGGGGUGGUCCGGAGCCGUGUAGCCGCUUAGCCUAGUCCCGUACUGUAAGCCUACACACUCCACCACUCUGCGAUGGGUGUCCUAGUAUCUAGAACUGUGUUUCAGGGGGGCCGGGCACACGGCUUGGCUGCCCAGGCCAAAUCCUGUAGGUCCUGUUGCAUGAAUCAAAGGAUGACUGAUACCAGACGAUGGGUCCUAAUGGGUGUGCUACUAACACUUUGUAGCCGAAGCUUUGUGCAGGUCCAGGUCCCAGUCGAGGCUACCUCCUGGGGGCCGGUACACCAACUCUUUCUUAGGUAUGCUGGUAUCUAGCCUCGACGCGUCGAGCCUACAUCCCAGGGGGGCCGAGUACCAGGAGGGGAGUUGAUAAAACCACACACAGCAAGAACAAGCACCAUACAGAUAAGAGCUGUUUAAUUGAUAGUUCCAAAAAGUAUCUUACAAAAACAAAAGUUAUUACAUCUGCCUUCAAGCGGAGCCCUAGCCUCAUUUCUACAGUUAUGAGCUACUCGACACCAGUAGGGUCACGCUGGAAGCACAAGGCCGCUGUCUCCACGACAUCUUGUACGACCUCCCGGGCGGCGUCUUUAGUAUCGGCAACCGGACCAACGGUCACCAUUGGAGGCGACGUCGAGGCCAUUAAAGCCAAAGAGAUGGAGGCGUGAAAGAUGGAGCCGCAGCUCAGCUCGCUUCCCACCUAAUGGAGUUGGAGCUAGACCAGUUCAUGGAGGUGUACCAUGGGAUGCUGGUGAAGCUCACGCGAAAGAUGGAGCCGCAGCUCAGCUCGCUUUCCACCCCCAGAAGGUUGCUGCACAACACCUUUCCGUCCGAAUGCUGGCGGAAGAAGCGUCGCCCCCACGGACAUCUCGCAGAGGUAGGCGAAGUUGGCUACCUGGAGGAUGAAGUGGGACAUGAGGUGCUGAGGUUGGAGGCCGAGCCCCUCCAGCAGCAGCACGAAGAAAGACGAGAUCGGAAGCGCCAACCCACAUGAGAGGUUGGAAACGAAGAGCACGAACUCCCCAGCGGCGAGAUCGUCGGGGGGAGAGGCACCGGUGCGGAUCCUUCCGGCGAACACCGGCGCGUCCCACCCGAGCAGGUUGUGCACCAGGUUGAGUGCCACCUCGGACUGGAAGCGCUCGGGAUGGACUAGCAAGGCCAUGGCGAAUACAGCGGCAGAAGAAGUGCAAAUCCAAAGGGGCGCGGAGAACUCGAAGGCGAAAGUUCGCAGCGGUUGGGAGAAAAAUGCGGAAGCAUAACCGCUGCACACGGGGUGAACCCCUUUUUAAAGGAAGAUUCCCUUGCUCGUGCCCCGAGACGCCACAGAAAAGCUCACCCGACGUGCACCGAAGCAACCCAGCCUAUGAUACGGGGGCACGAGCCCACAAGUCAUCCAGCUGGGGUGCGGGUCUCCGAGUGCGAAGAAGGCGAGCUGCCGCGUGAGGAGCGGGCUGCUGCCCGCGGUAGUGCACCUCUUCAUCUCCGCCGAAAGCAGCGGCCAAGCCUCUGACACGGGGGCCCGGGCCCACAAGUCAUACUCCUUGGGCGUCGGUCUCCGAGUGCGAAGAAGGCGAACCGCCGCGUGAGGAGCGGGCCACCGACCGUGGUAGUGCGCCUCUUCAUCUCCGCCGAAAGCAGCGGCCCAGCCUCUGACACGGGGGCUCGGGCCCACAAGUCAUGCUCCUUGGGCGUCGGUCUUUGAGUGCGAAGAAGGCGAACCGCCGCGUGAGGAGCGGGCCGCCGCCCACGGUAGUGUGCCUCUUCACCUCCGCUGAAACCAACGGCCCAGUCUCUGACGCGGGGGCCCAGGCCCACGAGUCAUCCUCCUUGGACACCGGUUCCUGGGUGCAGAGAAGACGAACCGCCGCUCGCGCCAGUACCACGUCUCCUCGGAGCCGCCACAGAGGACAGAGAAGGUGAAUUUUCAAAACCAAUGCAGCGGUAUCGAGGCCCCCCGCGUGUGGCCAUCAUGUGUGGAGGUCACGGGUCAGUCAGCCGCGGGGACAGACGUGGAAGUUGGCGUGACCGAAGGCGGACUGGCAGUGAUUACGUCAGACACACGGAAGCGGCGCGCUAAUCGCCAGACAAGCUUUGGCCCCACCUGCAGGCUCGUAUCCUCCCCUGAGGCGGGCCCGGGAGCCACUGUCGGUACCCUCAAACAGGGGUACCCCUUACUACAGUAUGAAGGCGCGGUGUCCACAUGGCUAUUUCUAGUCACGUGGCAAACAACACCCGACCCCACUGCGCGGACGGCUCCGGGGCCGCCACGUGGCCGGAAAAGAUGAUAUGCUCCAAGGCAUAGGCAGUGGGUCCGGACCCCCAUGGGAAAGUACCGGACCCCUGUAGAUACGGACCGAACCUCUCGGUAAGGUCCAGAACCUCCACGGGCGUGCCCGGACCCCUGGGAUGGGUCUCGGACCCCCCUGUGCAGGGUCCGAGCCACUCACAACAGGGUCCUGGGAUUCUAGGACAAAGAGUACCUAGACCUUAAUCAAGGUCAGGCGGGGGUCCGGAGUCGACACGUGUCCGGACCAUACCACAUACACCUCUGCUCCCCGCUGAGGCGGAGACCCGAUGCUGCCACGUGGCCAGCUGCCCGCGAUGUAAGCCAGCGGGCAGAGCCUGACAUAAGGCCUCUGGGCCGCAUGUCCUCUGCAUUUAUUGCGGAUAAGGCGCGCCGCCUGUCAAACUGGCAGGUGAUGUGCCGCCUCAGCAUUUAAUGUGCCCUGUCCACUCCACUGGCAGACGAUGUGCCACCUUGGCAUUUAAUGUGCCCUGUCCACCCCGCUGAUGGGCGGCGACCAGGCCACUCUGCGGGCGGCGUGCCUGUCCAUUCUGUUGGCAGGCAGUACGCCCGUGCUGCGGCAUACGCUAUGCUCAUCAUGACUCGCGCGUUACCGAGGAAGCAGCCAUGAGAUAUUAAUACUAUAUGGACUACGGACAUUAUGGCGCUCGGGGAUCUUCUGGAUGACACUGGCAUUGGAUACUUCUAUAUGUAUUCCCUUCGUUUUUCCCCUGGGCCCACAUGUCGGGGCCCAGCACCCUUGUACGUGCCCCCCUUGAGCUAUAAAAGGGAAGGCACACGACGUUACAAGGUAGACCCAACUUAGGCUCACACACUCACUCAAACUCACAAGGUCAUACAAGCUCUCAAGCUCAAUACAUCACACAAUGGAGUAGGGUAUUACGCUCCGGCGGCCCGAACCACUCUAAACCCUUGUGUGUUCUUGUGUCCUUCCCGAUUCCAUCUAGCAGGCAAAACGCUUAGGCCCCUCCUCAUCUUAGGAUUUAGGGCGGGUGCGUUCCGCCACCCGGCCGGAGAAUUUCCUCUCCGACAAUCAUCAAAAGCAAAAUUUCCAUGAUGGAAAUCAUCAUACCAUUCAUCAUCAUCGUAGGAAUUGUCCUGACAAAGCUCUCUGCGUUGAGGUCUUCGGUCCUGGUCAUCUUGAGUGAGAUGACACAUUUCCUCAGCAGCUUCAUCGAUCUUCUUCUGUAGAUCGGAGAGACGAAGAAUCUUCUCCUUCUUCCUCUGGACCUCCUGAUGGAUGGCUUCGAGGUCCCUUAUUUCUUGGUCCAUCUCUUCCUCCUGAGGCAUUGGACUUGUAGCCUUCCUUUUUUGACUUCUGGCUUCAUGCAGUGUUUCCUGGUUGACGUCCAGUGGCUGCAGUGCAGCCCCUAGCCCUGAAGCUUUCUUCGACGGCAUGACGAAGGUCACAACUUGCCGAAGGUGGUCGAAUGAGUUCACCGGAGGUGGGCGCCAAUGUUGGGGACUUGUUCUCAAAUGCUAUGAGUUAAGAACAAGGCAACACAUAAUGUUAAUGGUUAAAGACCUUCGUCCUUUGAAGCAUUAUCUCCCUUAGGAUAUAAUUAUCUUCAGACGAAGGAUAUUGAAAGUCGCCUAGAGGGGGGGUGAAUAGGGCGAAUCUGAAAUUUACAAACUUAAUCACAACUACAAGCCGGGUUAGCGUUAGAAAUAUAAACGAGUCCGAGAGAGAGGGCGCAAAACAAAUCGUGAGCGAAAAAAGAGUGGAACACGAUGAUUUGUUUUACCGAGGUUCGGUUCUUGCAAACCUACUCCCCGUUGAGGUGGUCACAAAGACCGGGUCUCUUUCAACCCUUUCCCUCUCUCAAACGGUCCCUCGAACCGAGUGAGCUUCUCUUCUCAAUCAAACGGGAACCAAACUUACCGCAAGGACCACCACACAAUUGGUGUCCCUUGCCUUGGUUACAAUUGAGAUGAUCACAAGAAGAAUGAGAAAGAAAAGAAGCGAUCCAAGCGCAAGAGCUCAAAUGAACACGACAAAUCACUCUCUCUAAUCACUAAAGCUUUGUGUGGAGUUGGGAGAGGAUUUGAUCUCUUUGGUGUGUCUUGUAUUGAAUGCUAGCUCUUGUAAGGUGUAGAAGAGUGGAAAAACUUGGAUGACUUGAAUGUGGGGGUGGUUGGGGUAUUUAUAGCCCCAACCACCAAACUUGACUGUUGGUGGAGGAUGCUGUCGACGGGCGCACCGGACAGUCCGGUGCGCCACCGGACACUGUCCGGUGCGCCAGCCACGUCACCUGUCCGUUGGGUUCCGACCGUUGGAGCUCUGACUUGUGGGCCCGCCUUGCUGUCCGGUGGUGCACCAGACAGGCCCUGUAGGCUGUCCGGUGUGCCACCCGCACGUGCUCUGCUCCUCUGCGCGCGCAGGCGCGCAUUUAAUGCGUUGCAGUCGACCGUUGCGCGCGAAGUAGCCAUUGCUCCGCUAUCACACCGGACAGUCCGGUGUGCACCGGACACUGUCUGGUGACUCACCGGACAGUCCGGUGAAUUAUAGCGGAGCGGAUUCCCGAAGCUGGCGAGUUCAGAGUCGUUCUCCCUUGGGGCACCAGACACUGUCCGGUGGUGCACCGGACAGUCCGGUGAAUUAAAGCGGAGCGCCUCUGAGAAUUUCCGAAGGUGAGGAGUUCAGCCUCGAGUGCCCUGGUGCACCGGACACUGUCCGGUGGCACACCGAACAGUCCGGUGCGCCAGACCAGGGUGCCUUUAGGGUUGUCUUUUGCUCUCUUGUUUGAACCCUUUUCUUGGUCUUUUUAUUGACUUAUUGUGAACCUUUGGCACCUGUAGAACUUAUAGACUAGAGCAAACUAGUUAGUCUAAUUAUUUGUGUUGGGCAAUUCAACCACCAAAAUCAAUUAGGAAAUAGGUGUAAGCCUAAUUCCCUUUCAAUCUCCCCCUUUUUGGUGAUUGAUGCCAACACAAACCAAAGCAAAUAGAGAAGUGCAUAAUUGAACUAGGUUGCAUAAUUUUAAGUGCAAAGGUUACUUAGAAUUGAGCCAAUAGAAAUUCUCAUUAAGAUAUGCAUGGAUUGUUUCUUUAUUUUUUUUAACAUUUUGGACCACGCUUGCACCACAUGUUUUGUUUUUGCAAAUUCUUUUUGUAAGUUCUUUUCAAAGUCCUUUUGCAAAUAGUCAAAGGUAAAUGAAUAAGAUUUUGCGAAGCAUUUUCAAGAUUUGAAAUUUUCUCCCCCUGUUUCAAAUGCUUUUCCUUUGACUAAAACAAAACUCCCCCUCGAUAAAAUCCUCCUCUUAGUGUUCAAGAGGGUUUUAAGAUAUCAAUUUUGAAAAUACUACUUUCUCCCCCUUUAGAACACAAUGAGAUACCAAUUAGAAAAUCAUAGUUUAAAAUUAGGUGGUGGUGCGGUCCUUUUGCUUUGGGCUAAUACUUUCUCCCCCUUUGGCAUGAAUCGCCAAAAACAGAUACUUUGAGUGAAAUAUAAGCCCUUAUAAACACUUUCUCCCCAUUUGGUAAAAGACAUAUAAGUGAAGAUUAUACCAAAGUUGGAGAGUUGCUCGGAGCGACGGCGAAGGAUGAGUUUAUGGAGUGGAGUGGAAGCCUUUGUCUUCGCCGAAGACUCCAAUUCCCUUUCAAUACACCUAUGACUUGGUUUGAAAUUCACUUGAGAACAUAUUAGUCAUAGCAUAUAAAGAGACAUGAUCAAAGGUAUACUUAUGAGCUAUGUGUGCAAAGCAUCAAAAGAAGUUCCUAGAAUCAAGAAUAUUUAGCUCAUGCCUAAGUUUGUUAAAAGUUUGUUCAUCUAGUGGCUUGGUAAAGAUAUCGACUAAUUGAUCUUUAGUGUUAAUAUAUGCAAUCUCGAUAUCUCCUUUUUGUUGGUGAUCCCUUAGAAAAUGAUACCGAAUGGCUAUGUGUUUAGUGCGGCUAUGUUCAACGGGAUUAUCCGCCAAGCGGAUUGCACUCUCAUUAUCACAUAGAAGAGGAACUUUGGUUAAUUUGUAACCAUAGUCCCUAAGGGUUGCCUCAUCCAAAGCAAUUGCGCGCAACAAUGGCCUGCGACAAUAUACUCGGCUUCGACGGUAGAAAGAGCUAUGGAAUUUUGCUUCUUUGAAGCCCAAGACACCAAGGAUCUUCCCAAGAACUGGCAAGUCCCCGAUGUGCUCUUUCUAUUAAUUUUACAUCCUGCCCAAUCGGCAUCCGAAUAACCAAUUAAAUCAAAUGAGGAUCCUCGAGGGUACCAAAGCCCAAACUUAGGAGUAUAAACUAAAUAUCUCAAGAUUCGUUUUACGGCCGUAAGGUGAGCUUCCUUAGGGUCGGCUUGGAAUCUUGCACACAUGCAUACGGAAAGCAUAAUAUCCGGUCGAGAUGCACAUAAAUAGAGUAAAGAGCCAAUCAUCGACCGGUAUACCUUUUGAUCGACGGAUUUACCUUCCGUGUCGAGGUCGAGAUGCCCAUUGGUUCCCAUGGGUGUCUUGAUGGGCUUGGCAUCCUUCAUCCCAAACUUGUUUAGAAUGUCUUGAAUAUACUUCGUUUGGCUAAUGAAGGUGCCCUCUUGGAGUUGCUUCACUUGAAAUCCCAAGAAAUACUUCAACUCCCUCAUCAUCGACAUCUCGAAUUUUUGUGUCAUGAUCCUACUAAAUUCUUCACAUGUAGAUUCGUUAGUAGACCCAAAUAUGAUAUCAUCAACAUAAAUUUGGCAUACAAACAAAUCCCUGUCAAGAGUUUUAGUAAAUAAAGUAGGAUCGGCUUUUCCGACUUUGAAGCCAUUAGUGAUAAGGAAAUCUCUAAGGCAUUCAUACCAUGCUCUUGGGGCUUGCUUGAGCCCAUAAAGCGCCUUAGGGUACUCACUUUCUUCAAAGCCGGGAGGUUGCUCAACAUAGACCUCUUCCUUGAUUGGUCCAUUGAGGAAGGCACUUUUCACGUCCAUUUGGUAAAGCUUAAAGCCAUGGUAAGUAGCAUAGGCAAGUAAUAUGCGAAUUGACUCAAGCCUAGCUAAGGGUGCAUAGGUUUCACCGAAAUCCAAACCUUCGACUUGUGAGUAUCCCUUGGCCACAAGUCGGGCUUUGUUCCUUGUCACCACACCAUGCUCGUCUUGCUUGUUGCAGAAAACCCACUUGGUUCCUACAACAUUUUGGUUAGGACGUGGAACUAAAUGCCAUACCUCAUUCCUAGUGAAGUUGUUGAGCUCCUCUUGCAUCGCCACCACCCAAUCCGAAUCUCGUAGUGCUUCCUCUACCUUGUGUGGCUCAAUAGAGGAAACAAAAGAGUAAUGCUCACAAAAAUGUGCAACACGAGAUCUAGUGGUUACCCCCUUAUGAAUGUCGCCGAGGAUGGUGUCGACAGGGUGAUCUCGUUGGAUUGUUUGGUGGACUCUUGGGUGUGGCGUUCUCGGUUCUUCAUCCUCCUUGUCUUGAUCAUUUGCAUCAUCUUGAGGUGACUCAUCAUUUUGAUCUUCUCCUUCAUCAACAUGAGUCUCAUCCUCAUUUUGAGUUGGUGGAGAUGCUUGCGUGGAGGAGGAUGGUUGAUCUUGUGCAUUUAGAGGCUCUUCGGAUUCCUUAGGACACACAUCCCCAAUGGACAUGUUCCUUAGCGCGAUGCAUGGAGCCUCUUCAUCACCUAUCUCAUCAAGAUCAACUUGCUCUACUUGAGAGCUGUUAGUCUCAUCAAACACAACAUCACAAGAAACUUCAACUUGUCCAGAGGACUUGUUAAAGACUCUAUAUGCCCUUGUGUUUGAAUCAUAUCCUAGUAAAAAGCCUUUUACAGUCUUAGGAGCAAAUUUAUAUUUUCUACCUCUUUUAACAAGAAUAAAGCAUUUGCUACCAAAGACUCUAAAAUAUGAAAUAUUGGGCUUUUUACCGGUUAGGAGUUCGUAUGAUGUCUUCUUGAUGAUUCGGUGUAGAUACAACCGGUUGAUGGCAUAGCAGGCGGUGUUGACCGCCUCGGCCCAAAACCGAUCCAAAGUCUUGUACUCAUCAAGCAUGGUUCUUGUCAUGUCCAAUAGAGUUCUAUUCUUUCUCUCCACUACACCAUUUUGUUGUGGGGUGUAGGGAGAAGAGAACUCAUGCUUGAUGCCCUCCUCCUCAAGGAAGCCUUCGAUUUGUGAGUUCUUGAACUCCGUCCCGUUGUCGCUUCUAAUUUUCUUGAUCCUUAAGUCGAACUCGUUUUGAGCUCGUCUUAAGAAUCCCUUUAAGGUCUCUUGGGUAUGAGAUUUUUCCUGCAAAAAGAACACCCAAGUGAAGCGAGAAUAAUCAUCCACAAUAACUAGACAGUACUUACUCCCGCCGAUGCUUGUGUAAGCUAUCGGGCCGAAUAGGUCCAUGUGUAGGAGCUCGAGUGGCCUGUCAGUCGUCAUGAUGUUCUUAUGUGGAUGAUGAGCACCAACUUGCUUCCCUGCCUGACAUGCGCUACAAAUCCUGUCUUUCUCAAAAUGAACAUUUGUUAGUCCCAAAAUGUGUUCUCCCUUUAGAAGUUUGUGAAGAUUCUUCAUUCCAACAUGUGCUAGUCGGCGAUGCCAGAGCCAGCCCAUGUUAGUCUUAGCAAUUAAGCAAGUGUCGAGUUCAGCUCUAUCAAAAUCUACUAAGUAUAGCUGACCCUCUAACACUCCCUUAAAUGCUAUUGAAUCAUCACUCCUUCUAAAGACAGUAACACCUACAUCUGUGAAAAGACAGUUGUAGCCCAUUUUGCAUAAUUGAGAUACAGAAAGCAAAUUGUAAUCUAAAGAAUCUACAAGAAAAACAUUGGAAAUUGAAUGGUCAGGAGAUAUAGCAAUUUUACCCAAUCCUUUGACCAAACCUUGAUUUCCAUCCCCGAAUGUGAUAGCUCGUUGGGGAUCUUGGUUUUUCUCGUAGGAGGAGAACAUCUUCUUCUCCCCUGUCAUGUGGUUUGUGCAUCCGCUAUCGAUGAUCCAACUUGAGCCCCUAGAUGCAUAAACCUACAAAACAAGUUUAGUUCUUGACUUUAGGUACCCAAAUGGUUUUGGGUCCUUUGGCAUUAGAUACAAGAACUUUGGGUACCAAAACACAAGGCUUUGACCCCUUGUGCUUGCCUCCAACAUAUUUGGCAACUACCUUGCCGGAUUUGUUAGUUAAAACAUAAGAAGCAUCAAAGGUCUUAAAUGAAAUGUUAUGAUCAUUUGAUGCAGUAGGAGUUUUCUUUUUAGGCAAUUUAGCAUGGGUUGAUUGCCUAGAGCUAGAUGUCUCACCCUUAUACAUAAAAGCAUGAUUAGGGCCAGAGUGAGACUUCCUAGAGUGAAUUCUCCUAAUUUUGCUCUCGGGAUAACCGGCAGGGUACAAAAUGUAACCCUCGUUAUCCUGAGGCAUGGGAGCCUUGCCCUUAACAAAAUUAGACAAUCUUUUAGGAGGGGCAUUAAGUUUGACAUUGUCCCCCUUUUGGAAACCAAUGCCAUCCUUGAUGCCAGGGCGUCUCCCACUAUAGAGCUUGCUUCUAGCAAAUUUAAAUUUUUCAUUUUCUAAGUCAUGCUCACUAAUCUUAGCAUUAAGUUGAGCUAUGUGAUCAUUUUGUUUCUUAAUUAAAGCUAGGUGAUCAUGGAUAGCAUCAACAUUAAUGUCUCUACAUCUAGUACAAAUGGAAGUAUGUUCAAUGGUAGAUGUAGAGGGUUUGCAAGAUUUUAAUUCUAUAACCUUAGCAUGCAAUAUAUCAUUUUUACUUCUAAGGUCGGAAAUGGAAGCAUUGCAAACAUCUAAUUAUUUAGCCUUAGCAAGCAAUUUUUCAUUUUCAAUCCUAAGGCUAGCAAGAGAGAUAUUCAAUUCUUCAAUCUUAGCAAGUAGAUCAAUAUUAUCAUUUCUAUGAUUGGGAAUUGAAACAUCACAAGCAUUUGAAUCAACCUUAGCAAUUAAAUUUGCAUUCUCAUUUCUAAGGUUGGUAAUAACAUCAUGGAAAGUGCUUAGCUCACUAGAUAGUUUUUCACACUUUUCUACUUCUAGAGCGUAAGCAUUUUUAACCUUAACAUGCUUCUUGUUUUCUUUAAUAAGGAAGUCCUCUUGGGUGUCCAAGAGAUCAUCCUUCUCAUGGAUAGCACUAAUCAAUUCAUUUAGUUUUUUCUUUUUGUUGCAUGUUUAGGUUGGCAAAAAGGGUAUGCAAAUUAUCCUCCUCAUCACUAGCAUUAUCUUCAUCACUAGAAGUCUCAUACUUAGUGGAGGAUUUUGAUUUUACCUUCUUCUUUUUGCCGUCCUUUGCCAUGAGGCACUUGUGGCCGACGUUGGCGAAGAGAAGACCCUUGGUGACGGCGAUGUUUGCGGUGUCCUCGUCGGAGGAGGAGUCGGUGGAGCUCUCGUCGGAGUCCCACUCUCGGCAAACAUGGGCAUCGCCGCCCUUCUUCUUGUAGUACCUCUUCUUCUCCUUUCUUCUUCCCUUCUUGUCGUCGCCCCUGUCACUAUCACUAGAUAAUGGACAUUUAGCAAUGAAAUGACCGGGCUUACCACACUUGUAGCAUACUUUCUUGGAGCGGGGCUUGUAAUCCUUCCCCCUCCUUUGCUUGAGGAUUUGGCAAAAGCUCUUGAUGAUGAGCGCCAUUUCCUCGUUGUCGAGCUUUGAGGCGUCGAUGGGUGUUCUACUUGAUGUAGAUUCCUCCUUCUUUUCCUCCGUCGCCUUGAAUGCGACAGGUUGUGCUUCGGACGUGGAGGGGCCAUCAAGCUCGUUGAUUUUCUUUGAGCCUUUGAUCAUCGAUUCAAAGCUCACAAAGUUUCCUAUCACUUCCUCGGGAGUCAUUAGUGUAUAUCUAGGAUUACCACGAAUUAAUUGAACUUGAGUAGGGUUAAGGAAAACAAGUGAUCUAAGAAUAACCUUAACCAUUUCGUGGUCAUCCCAUUUCUUGCUCCCGAGGUUGCGCACUUGGUUCACCAAGGUUUUGAGCCGGUUGUACAUGUCUUGUGGCUCCUCCCCUUGGUGAAGUCGAAAGCGACCGAGCUCCCCCUCGAUUGUUUCCCGCUUGGUGAUCUUGGUCACCUCGUCUCCUUCGUGCGUGGUCUUUAGCACGUCCAAAAUCUCCUUAGCACUCUUCAACCCUUGCACCUUAUUAUACUCCUCUCGACUUAGAGAGGCGAGGAGUAUAGUUGUGGCUUGGGAGUUGAAGUGUUGGAUUUGGGCCACUUCGUCCUCAUCAUAAUCUUCAUCCCCUACGGAUGGUACCUGUACACCAAACUCAACAACAUCCCAUAUACUUUUGUGGAGUGAGGUUAGGUGAUAUCGCAUCAUAUCACUCCACCUAGCAUAAUCUUCACCAUCAAACGUUGGUGGUUUGCCUAAUGAGACGGAAAGUAAUGGCGUAUGUUUAGAAAUGCGAGGAUAGCGUAGGGGGAUCUUACUAAACUUCUUGCGCUCGUGGCGCUUAGAAGUUAUGGAUGGCGUGUCGGAGCCGGAGGUGGAUGGCGAUGAGGUGUCGGUCUCGUAGUAGACCACUUUCCUCAUCUUCUUCUUCUUGUCACCGCUCCGACAUGACUUGUGUGAAGAGGAUUCCUUUUCCUUCCCCUUGUUGUGGGACUCUCCCGAUGGAGCUUUCCUGUGGCUUGUAGCGGUCUUCUCGCUGGUCACCAUCUCCUUCUUGGCAUGAUCUCCCAACAUCACUUCGAGCGGUUAGGCUCUAAUGAAGUACUGGGCUCCGAUACCAAUUGAAAGUCGCCUAGAGGGGGGGGGGUGAAUAGGGCGAAUCUUAAAUUUACAAACUUAAUCACAACUACAAGCUGGGUUAGCGUUAGAAAUAUAAACGAGUCCGAGAGAGAGGGCACAAAACAAAUCGUGAGCGAAAAAAGAGUGGAACACGAUGAUUUGUUUUACCGAGGUUCGGUUCUUGCAAACCUACUCCCCGUUGAGGUGGUCACAAAGACCGGGCCUCUUUCAACCCUUUCCCUCUCUCAAACGGUCCCUCGGACCGAGUGAGCUUCUCUUCUCAAUCAAACAGGAACCAAACUUCCCGCAAGGACCACCACACAAUUGGUGUCUCUUGCCUUGGCUACAAUUGAGAUGAUCACAAGAAGAAUGAGAAAGAAAAGAAGCGAUCCAAGCGCAAGAGCUCAAAUGAACACGACAAAUCACUCUCUCUAAUCACUAAAGCUUUGUGUGGAGUUGGGAGAGGAUUUGAUCUCUUUGGUGUGUCUUGUAUUGAAUGCUAGCUCUUGUAAGGUGUAGAAGAGUGGAAAAACAUGGAUGACUUGAAUGUGGGGGUGGUUGGGGUAUUUAUAGCCCCCGCCACCAAACUUGACCGUUGGUGGAGGCUGCUGUCGACGGGCGCACCGGACAGUCCGAUGCGCCACUGGACACUGUUCGGUGCGCCAGCCACGUCACCUGGCCGUUGGGUUCCGACCGUUGGAGCUCUGACUUGUGGGCCCGCCUUGCUGUCCGGUGGUGCACCGGACAGGCCCUAUAGGCUGUCCGGUGUGCCACCCGCGCGUGCUCUGCUCCUCUGCGCGCGUAGGCGCGCAUUUAAUGCGUUGCAGUCGACCGUUGCGCGCGAAGUAGCCGUUGCUCCGCUGUCACACCGGACAGUCCGGUGUGCACCGGACACUGUCCGGUGUGCACCGGACAGUCCGGUGAAUUAUAGCGGAGCGGAUUCCUGAAGCUGGCGAGUUCAGAGUCGUUCUCCCUUGGGGCACCGGACACUGUCCGGUGGUGCACCGGACAGUCCGGUGAAUUAUAGCGGAGCGCCUCUGAGAAUUCCCGAAGGUGAGGAGUUCAACCUCGAGUGCCCUGGUGCACCGGACACUGUCCGGUGGCACACCGGACAGUCCGGUGCGCCAGACCAGGGUGCCUUCAGGGUUGUCUUUUGCUCUCUUGUUUGAACCCUUUUCUUGGUCUUUUUAUUGACUUAUUGUGAACCUUUGGCACCUGUAGAACUUAUAGACUAGAGCAAACUAGUUAGUCCAAUUAUUUGUGUUGGGCAAUUCAACCACCAAAAUCAAUUAGGAAAUAAGUGUAAGCCUAAUUCCCUUUCAGAUAUGAAGGACGUACCUUCAUAAUUUCAGUAUAUGAUAAUGAAAGUAGAAACAUAUGAAACAUGGAAAACAACAUGAAUGAUCAUAUGACAUCAUUAGGAUAAUUUUUUAUUAUCGCAUCAUCAAUAAACAGGAACAAUAUCGAAUUACAUUUAUACCUUCGGCUUGACAGAAGGUGAGAAUCCAAGUGUGACGUGCAAGUGAAUACAGGUCAGCGUGAACAGUACGGUGUUACUGUUCAUCUAUUUAUAGGCACAGGACGCAGCCUGUGUAAAAUUACAUCCAUGCCCUUUAUGUUUACUAUUGACCUAAGGACAAUCUAUCGAGGACUAGAUAGCCUUUUCCUCUUUAAGUCGGUUUCAUUUUCCGCUGCUAAGUCGAAGCUUCUCUACGCGUAGCUUCGGAACUGGUUCAACCUUCUUCCAGACCAUGCUUUUCAUAUCGUGUACAGCUUCAUUCUGAGGCCGAAGGUCCCUGUGAAUGUAUUAUACUUGGAAAACAUGUUAGUUGUGUUUUUGAGGACCUUCGGAAGAUGAAGGCCCCCAACACCAGUAGUAUGUGAAUUUCUGGACGUGUUUCCUGAAGAUUUUCCUGGAUUACCCCCUGAGAGGGAUGUGGAGUUCAUGAUUGAGUUAAAGCCUAGAACGACUCCUAUCUCAAGAAGGUCGUACUAUAUGCCUCCUAAUGAAUUGGCGGAACUAAAGACACAGCUUCAAGACCUGCUGGAGAAGGGGUUUAUCAGGCCAACUUCCUCACCAUGGGGUUGUCUAGCCAUUUUUGUAAAGAAGAAAAACCAAACUCUACGGAUGUGCGUGGACUAUCGACCCCUUAAUGAAGUUACCAUCAAGAAUAAGUACCCACUUCCUCAUAUCGACCUUUUAUUCGACCAGCUUACUGGAGCCCGAGUAUUCUCUUAGAUUGAUCUUAGGUUGGGCUAUCAUCAAAUAAGGAUUCAAUCGGAAGAUAUAACUAAGACGACUUUUACUACUCUAUAUGGACUAUUCGAUUAUCUAGUUAUGUCCUUUGGGUUAACAAAUGCUCCAGCGCAUUUCACAUAUUUGAUUAAUUCGGUGUUUAUGCCAGAAUUGGACAAGUUCGUAGUGGUUUUUUUAUUGACGAUAUUGUAAUUUACUCCAAGAAUAAAGAGGAGCAUGCAAAGCAUCUACGGAUUGUCUUAACGCGCUUAAGGGAACAUCAACUUUAUGCUAAGUUUAACAAAUGCACAUUUUGGUUGGAGGAAAUCCAAUUCUUGGGACAUGUCUUAUUAGCUAAAGGAAUUGUGGUUGACCCCAACAAAGUUAAGGAUAUUUUGGAAUGGAAAUCUCCUACUACAGUCCAUCAAGUUAGGAUUUCUACAAGAUAGUUAAGCCUAUAACAGAGCUAUUGAAGAAUGAUGUUAAGUUUAAUUGGUCUUCCAAUAUGAGGCUUUUGAGCAGCUGAAGAAACUAUUAACUAUUGCGCCAGUGUUGGCACAACCAGACAUUGAGAAGUCGUUUGAUGUAUACUGUGAUGCGUCAGGCAUUGGCCUUGGAUGUGUUUUGAUGCAAGAAGGCCGAGUUAUAGCAUAUGCUUCGAGACAACUACGUCAGCAUGAUGAGCAUUACCCAAUGCAUGAUUUGGAAUUAGCAGCAGUAGUUCAUGCCCUUAAAAUCUGGCGUCAUUAUCUAUUGGGUAAUGUAUGUCAUAUAUAUAUUGAUCAUAAGAGUCUGGAGUACAUUUUUACCAAGCCAGAGUUGAACAUGAGACAAAGGAGCUGGCUCGAGCUAAUCAAGGAUUAUGAUCUAGAGAUUCAUUAUCAUCCGGGAAAGGCUAAUGUAGUGGAUGAUGUUUUAAGUCAUAAGGCGUUUUGCCAUUGCGUUAUUGUGAGGUUACAUUACACUACUCUAUGCCAAGAAAUGAAAAGGCUAAAUUUUUGUAGUACAACAAGGAACUUUGAUGCAACUAAAGCUUGAGUUUGUUCUUCAACAGAGGAUUGUUGAUGCUUAGAAGGUUGAUAAGGGUAUGAAGCAUAUUUAAGAGAAAAUGGAAGCUGGUAAAGCCACUUGUUUUAGGAGAGAUGAUCAAGGAGUGUUAUUGUUCAAAGAUUGUAUAGUGGUGCCUAAGGAUGCUGAGCUCCGCCAGCAGAUCUUGGAUGAAGGUCAUCUUACUGGGUAUUCUACCCAUCUCGUAAGUACCAAGAUGUACCAAGAUUUGAGACAACAUUACCCGUGGACUAAAAUGAAGAUAUAAAUUGCUCGUUAUGUGGCAAAGUGCGACACUUGUCAACGAGUGAAGGUGGUGCACAUGAAGACUGCUGGACCCCUACAAUCGUUGCCUGUUCCAACAUGGAAAUGGGAUGAUAUAAGUAUGGAUUUUUUGUUGGAUUACCCAGGACAUCCAAUAGAUAUGAUUCUAUUUGGGUUAUAGUGGAUCGACUUACAAAGAUAGCUCAUUUUCUUCCAGUCAAAACAUAUUACCCAGUCCUUACCUAUGCUCAGUUAUAUGUUGCUCGUAUUAUGAGUUUGCAUGGAGUGCCAAGGACAUUAGUGUCGGAUCGAGGACCACAGUUUGUAUCCAAAUUUUGGGAAGGGUUACACAAGUCUUUGGGUACUAAGUUGCUCCAUAGUUCGGGACAAACAGAGAGAGUAAAUCAAAUACUGGAAGAUAUGCUACGAGCUUGUGUUCUGGAAUUUCCGCAAAAGUGGAGAGACUGUCUGCCUCUAGCAGAAUUCUCCUAUAAUAAUAGUUCUCAAGAGAAUAUCAAGAUGGCACCAUUUGAAGCCCUAUAUGGUCGACGAUAUAGAACACCUUUGAACUGGUCAGAACCAGGAGAGCGAUGGUUUUUCAAACCUAAUUUGGUCAAAGAAACAGAAGAAAGGGUUCAACACAUACGACAUAACUUGAGAGAAGCUCAAGCACGGCAGAAGAACUAUGCGGAUAAACGGCGUCGACCAUUAAUCUUCCAAGUCGGGGAUCAUGUGUACUUAUAAGUAUCGCCAAUGAAGGGAGUUAACCGUUUCAGGGUUAAAGGAAAGUUAGCACCCAGAUACAUUGGUCCAUUCCCUAUUCUCGAACAAUGUGGGCAUGUUGCGUACCAACUUCGACUACCAGAGUCAUUAUCUGUUGUACACAAUGUGUUCCACGUAUCGUAACUAAAGAAGUGUCCCCGAUCAAACCAAGGAUAUAUCAGAAGUUAAUUUAGGACCAGACCUAACUUAUUCAGAAUAUCCCAUCUGAGUUUUGGAUCAAAAGGAUCGAGUUACUCGAAAAAAGACACUCAAGUUCUAUAAGAUAUAGUGGAACCAACAUACAGAAGAGGCUACUUGGGAAUUUGAAGGUUUCUUAGAAAAGCAUUUCCCUAAGUUUCUAGCUUCUUGUAACCUUUAAGGUUUGUUGUAAAGGUCGAAGGGACCCACACAACCACCCCUGCCUUGUAAGAGAAAAUAGGAAAUAAGGUUGUGACAUAUUUCCUUUUCCAUUACUUACCCAUGAGCUUUAAAUCUUGGUAUGAGAUUCUUUUAUGGGGGAGAGGAUGUAACACCUUAGGUGUUACGAGAAUUAAAACUUUGGCAUGACAUCAUGUGCACAAGCAUUACAUUGUGUAUGAUACACCUAGAAUGCAUUCACGAGGCUAAAAUUUCAAAACAAAACAUGGGAUGUGAUGACUGCGGCUUGAGUUUAUAGUGUAGUAAGGGGAUUCUUAACCCUAGGUAGGAGUGAAUCUCUCCAAGGGCUAGAAGCAUGUGAUCUUAUGUUAUGAAUACUAAAGAGUGAUCUCGCCAAGUUUGGUAGUUAUGCUCAAGGAAUAAUGACUUAGACAAGUUAAGCACUUAAUGUACCCUAGGGCACUAAAAACCCUAAAUUGGAGCUUAAAGCCCUAAUUAGUGCCCUAUAGGGUGAUUUCAAUUCUAACCACUUUUUCCAAAAGUGUAUGUAUAAAGUAAUAGAGUAACAAAA